CGACCUUGAAGCGAAAGGAACUUUCUUACGCAGAUUAGCAUUGAUUGAGCAAACCGCACGCAUGGAAACACAAAAUGGCUUGGCGAAAUUCCAAAGUUUGUACUGUGGUAUGCUUGUCGGCUUGUCGCAUGUCUACAUGAACAGUCCGCCCAGUACUGUCUUGUUGAUCGUACGCCACUUCUCCAGGGUAAUGUACAACUUUUUUUUUUCUCGUCGUGAGAAAAUAGAAUUAUUUUGUAUGUUACAGAAAUGCUUUAAAACCAGUAGAUAUAUCCUCUCUUUUUUUUUUAUCUUGGCAUCGUCGGGCUAUCUAGGCUAUCCGAUACCUUUCGAUAGUGCCUGCGACAAUCCUCGGCUUGUUGGUGAAAAUCCUGGGGAGGCAUCGACUAUCCGUGGCCCUUUUACCCAGUGGCGGCACACGGGUGCCACGGGGUCGCGUGUAUAUCUUUCAAAUUAGAUCCCAUUUGAUAGGUUCUUUUUCCUGUUUUUGUGUCACAUGGCAAGCUGGAUAUUAUUUUAUAAAUUUAUAUGUAUAUAGCAAAACAAACUUUUUACGGGUUUAAGUACCGUUAACAAAUUUAGAAAAAUAUCAGGAAUUAAAAAAAUAACGAAUUAAUUUUUUGGACUAAUGGUCAGAAAUAAAUAAAUAUUUGAAAGUUAAUUAUUUUCUUUAAUUUAGAAAAAUCAUGUAUUACAAUAAAUCUGAACAACAUUUAAAAAUUGUUCUUGCGUUCCAAAAAAAACUAACACGAAUUAGAAAGAUGUAUGGGCGUUUCUAAUAAAAUACUGAAGAAUUCACAAUGGUACAAUGGAAAAGGAAAAAAAUUAAAAAGAAAACUGGAAUAAAAUAAAAUAAAAAAAUCGAAAGAAGCCACUGAAAGCCAUAAACGAAAAAAACAAAGAAAACAUAGUUUCCCGCGCAUAAGUAAAUGGGCUGGCUCAGCUCAAACGCGCGAUGCACUUCGGCGCCAUCAAUUAGGGAAUUCCAGAAAUUUAACACCUUCGUAUAAUGUUCAUGAAUUGAAAGAAUUGUUCACAUAUCUGAGAAUGUUAAGUAACUCAAAAAAUGUUCAUAAAUUUCAUAAAUUUUCAGAAAUUUAAAAAUGUUGUAAAUUUUUAUAACAAAUCACGCAUUUAAGAAGGUUCAAGAUUUUAAAAAAGUACACAGGUUUAAAAAGGUUCCCACUUUUGGGAUUUUUUUGUUCGGUCAAUGGCCGAAGGAAAGAAUCCACUCCCUUUAUUAGUUCGUGGUACUGGUUUUAUUCCCUUCUUGCAUUUUACGAGAAAAUGUUCAAGAAUAAGAUAUCAUCUUUGAGAAUUCAAAAAAUAUGUUUGUAAAAUUAAACAAAAAUUUAAAAAUAAAAAACCAAUUCUAAAAGUAUUCGCUAAUUUAAAAUAUUCCCAUUUUUCUAAAUUUUAGAAUCUUAAAAAACAUAGAAUUCGAAAAUGCCCUAAAUUUAAAAAUGUUGAAAAUUUAAAAAAUGUAUCANNNNNNNNNNNNNNNNNNNNNNNNNNNNNNNNNNNNNNNNNNNNNNNNNNNNNNNNNNNNNNNNNNNNNNNNNNNNNNNNNNNNNNNNNNNNNNNNNNNNNNNNNNNNNNNNNNNNNNNNNNNNNNNNNNNNNNNNNNNNNNNNNNNNNNNNNNNNNNNNNNNNNNNNNNNNNNNNNNNNNNNNNNNNNNNNNNNNNNNNNNNNNNNNNNNNNNNNNNNNNNNNNNNNNNNNNNNNNNNNNNNNAGAAUUUGGAAAUCCCAUGAAUUUUAAGCAUUCAAAAUUUCACAAAGUUAAUAGCUUUAGAAAAUAUUUGCAUAUAUUUUUUAAGAUGUUUAUUUUAAAAAAAUUAUAAAUUUAAAUAUGUCUAUAAUUUAAGAAGAAAUAACAAAAAUGAACAAAAAAGAAAGAAGGAAAAACAAUAACAGAAAACAAAAGAAAAGGGAAAAUUCAGAGAAGAACCUUCUAAAAUCUUUUCCAAACCGCGGAAACCCAUUGUAAUGGGUUGGCAUGUUUACCACUGUCGGUUCUCGUUUGCUGGGAAUCGAGUGACUUAAGCGCGUAAAAGGCGGCUCAGCCACGGCCAAAUCCUAUAUGACGCCUUAUGCGCUGGUUUUAGUAUGUUUUGCAAACCGGUGCACACCGUAGUACCGAAUGAGCCAGCCCAUGUAAGCGAGGAAGCAGGGAAGUUCGUCCGAGUUUGCUAAGGCUUCUGGAAACUUCCCAACCCGGUUUUUUAUUCCGGUUUUCUGAACCGCAUUUUGUUCAACUUUAUCUUUUUUUGUUUUUCAAAUGUGUGAACUUCUUCAAAAUUCAAAAACUUUUACAAAUUCAUGAACUUUUCUCAAAUUCUUAUUUAUAUCAACUUCGUGAAACUUUUCUUCUAUAAAAAUCAUGAACUUUUUAAAAUCCGUGACCUUUUUCUGCUCUGCUACGAUAUUUUAGUGAACUUUUCAAUUUUUAAACUUUUUCAGUGAUUUUUUUCACAAUUCGUAAGCUUUUUACAAAUUUAUGACCUUUGCCAAACCCAUGAACAAUUGUUGAAAUUCACGAACAUUUUUCGAAAUUCGUGAACUUUUUCAAUUUUAUGAACAUUUUUCAAAUUCAUGAUUUUUUUUCAAAUUUGUGAUUUCUUUUUGAAAAUUCAUAAACUUUUUUCAUUCGGAAAAAAAUCGGAUUCAUGAACUUUUUCACAGUACGUGCUCACAAUAAGAAAAAUGCUGGAAUCAGCCCUACAUAGAGGUGCAUCAAACCAUAAGUUAGAAGUUGGCGACGUCGAGCGAGCUAUAUGGGCUAUGGCCCACUAGAGGGAUCGCCUGAGUGCCAGUAGUCUUCGCGGCGCUUAAGGCACCAAUGAGGGGCUCUCUCCGCCAUGCGGGUACUCCAGAAUAUCCUAUUUGACGCAUUCUGCGUCGAACAGUCGACUUUUCACACAGAGCUGGCCAUCGAGCGAUAAACUAGGCCAGCCCGUUAACGUGUUCUAGCGUUUCAGUUUUGGGAAGCUUCUAGAGUUUCCCAACAGGUAUUUUCUGGUUUUGGGAGCCUCCUAGAAGGUUCCCUAAACCGUUUUUCCUGUUUUUUGGUAUUUUUUUUGUUUUUCUGUUAAUUUUUCUUUUUUUCCAUUCUUGUUUCUUUUUUAUUUAUUUUUUUGUUUAAUUUCUUUAAAAAAAAAUCAUGGUUCGAAAAUUGUUCGGAAACUUAAAAAAUUGUUUGUGCUUUUAAAAAAGUUCAUUUUUUUAAAAGUUGGUCCUGUUUUAAGAAAUUGUUCAUAACCUCAAAAAAUAAACACAUUUUCCAAAAAAAAUCGGGAAUUUUGACUUUUUUCCCGUUUUUCAGAAAUUGUUUGGAAUGUUUUUGUUCAUUUUUUCACAAAUUUUUAAAUAAUGACAGGGGAUUUAAAAAAAUGUUUCACAAAAUUCGAAAAAUGUUCUUGUUUUUAAAUUUGUGUUCACGUAUUAAAAAAAUUGUUUGUGUUUCAAAUUUGUUUGGGAUUUUCAAAAUUGCUCUCCAUUUUGGAAUUUGUUCUAAAAAAUCAAAAUAUGCUCGUGAUUUUAAAAAUUGUUCCCAUUUUGAAAGUUUGUUCAAAAUUCAGAAAAAAUUCAUGUUUAUGAAUAAAGUUCAGGAAUUUCAAAAUGGGUUUGCCAUUUCAGAAAAUUUUUUGGUUUUGUCAAAAAUUGUUCGUAAGUUCAGAAAAUAACUCGAAUUUUGGAAUAUUAUUAAUAGUGUUAAGUCUACUAAUGCUAUUAGCUUUUAACUCUCGCGAUAUACUUCUGUCACGAGUCCCCUUAUGUCGUAGUGGCUAGCUGUGAGCGCACUUGAGCAGGUAGUUGCGGGUUUGAUUCCUAGCAAUCGCGACAACCCUUUUUGUGAUUUUUCACCAUUGCAUUCGCGGUGCACCGUGAUGGGCUGGCCCAGUCCAAAGCACUUCCUUGCAGAGAUGCACCUCGGUGAUGGCGAAGCGCAGACGCCGGUUAUUGGUUGAAGCUAGUUCUCGAGGAUAUUCGAUCCUCGGGUCGGCCAAGUUGCCCAACCCGACUCUCGGGGGCUAUUGCGUUGACGAUUCAAUGCUGAAAAUUUAUAGUGCAAUACGGUUCCAAGGAGAUUCGAUCCUCAGGUCGACCACGCCCGACCAGAGUCGCGGGAGAUACUAUACAUAGCGCCUUCCUAAACUAUGCUACCAAGCAAGAAUUUGGUCGUCAGGCUGAUUUGGCGAAUCAACCUAAGUCUCGGGGACUACUGGGAUCAACAGUUUUAUAUUAUCCUUCACGUUCCUACCGGACUUCAGGCUGGCAUAGACCUUGAGGGCAACUGCCUAUUUAUCUCGGCAGAGAAUAAAAUGCACUAGUCAGAAAUAUUUUGUGAAAAAUCGGCACGUGGAAACCGCCUUGGCGCGAAAAAAAUCUUUCCAUAAAGGCAACCAUCUACAUAUCGACAACUCAAUAUCAAGGUGACACACACCACUUUGGAAACAGUCCGGCAUGGAGGCCAACUGCGAGUGGUUGGCUGCAUGGGAGACUUUUCCGGCGUGCAACUCGGCCAUACCCCUUCAACAUUUUCAAGAUCGAGGUGUUGUACAUCACCUGGAAUGAAGUCAGGUUUCGGAGCUCGGUUGCAAGAAGACGUUGAUCAUGGAAAGUUCUCGUUGAACCAGUUUGAAGACCAAGGACCAAAAACGAUGAGUAGCUCGGAUGAGCCGAGGUGCUACCAGCUUGAAGAUAGGGUCAGGGGGUAAUGACGGUGUCCCAGAACGUAUCUAUAUUUUUUUUAUCGUUCCAUGCUAUUAUAUUAUCUGUUUUGGAUGUUUUAUAUGCAUUAAUAUGCUAUUUUAUAUUAUUUUUGGGACUAACUUAUUAACUUGGAGCCCAGCGCCAGUUUCUGUGCUUUCCUUGUUUUUGACUUUUGCAGAAAAGAAAUAUCAAACGGAGUCCAAAUGGAAUAAAACUUAACGAUGAUUUUUUUGGACCAGAAAACACCCAGAAGACUUGGGGAGAGGGCCAGAAGAGUCCCAAGGAGACGACAAGCCUCUAGGGCGCGCCCCAGGGGGGCGCCCCUAGCUUGUGGGCCCCUCGAGGGUUCUCUAACCCUAAUUCCACCUCUAUAUAUUCUCAAAUAUUCCCCGAACAUCAGAAGCGUCAACAAAAAUACUUUUCUACCCCUGCAAGCUUCUGUGCCCGUGAGAUCCCAUCUUGGGGCCUUUUCCGGCAAUCUGCUGGAGGCGGAUUCGAUCACGAAGAGCCUCCCCCACUUCUAAAACAUUUUUAGAAAAUCACAAAAUAUUUGCCUUUUUAUUCACCCUUCUUUCGCUCGAUCCUUUUCGUUUGCCUAAACUCAUCAUCAUGAGUGACUUCGGUAUGGCAGAAACAGAUGAUGGCCUAACUCCUUAAAUUGGACGAUCCAGCAAUCUUGAUGCUAAAACUUUUGUUUUGGGGUAAGGGAACGUUAUGGGAAAAGAACAUAUCCAAGAGUUUUUCAAUUGUAUCGGCAACUUGCCUUUAGAUGACGCUCACAUACUUAAAAGAACUAAGACCUAUGCAUAGGCUAUUUCAGCACUAGUUCUAAAAUUUGAAAAUAGAUUUAUUCACACUCAUCCUACCUUGCAAAGAAUGUUUUAUCAGCUUCCCGUUAUAAAAGAUCGCAAAGCUAAAAAGAUAGCUACACAUGUUAUGAAUGAAUUUGAUCACAUAGUACGAGAAGCUAGGGAAAAUUUUGAUUUUUAUGGUAUGAGCCGUGAAAAACCGGUGACUGAUGAGAUCCUUUACAAUAGUGAUUACAUGUUGAGACAUUUGCUUGGAAAUAAUCAAAUUUUUUAUGAUAAUCUUAAAAAGAAAAUCCUCGUUUUAGAUGUGAUCCAACAAGUUUUCAAUGAUGUUAAUCAACAAUAUUCUUGGAUUGUGGCCGGGAAUCAAAAGGGAUACCUAGAUGGACAACUAGAUAAUGCCAAAAUUUAUAUGGAUAAUGUGUUCCAAGUUAUGUUUGUAAAAACUCCUGACGAGAAUGCACCUACUUACGGAUUUAAUACCAAAGAUGACAAUACCAAGAUCUAUGUUUUAUGCCUAGCUAGGGGCGUUAAACAAUAGCGCUUGUUGGGAGGCAACCCAAUUUUAUAUUUAUGUUUUUUGUUUUUGGUUCUAUUUUUUAAUAAAUACACAUUAUUACCUCUGUAGCAAUUGUGUUUUGCUGUUUUAAUUAGUGUUUGAGCCAAGCAAGACCUUUGGGAUGGCCUACGAUGAUAGUUCAUUUGAUCUUGCUGAAAAACAGAAACUUUUGCGUCCAGUAAAGCAAUUUUAGAAGAUCAUAGAAACGUGCUUUUGAUCUGAAUUUUUUACACAAGAUUGAUAUACAAAUUGCCCAGGUUGUCCUAAGUUUUCAGAAUUUUUGGAGUUACAGAAGUAUAUGAAAUUUUUAGAUUGCUACAGACUAUUCUGUUUUUGACAGAUUCUGUUUUCUAUGUGUUGUUUGCUUAUUUUGAUGAAUCUAUGGGUAGUAUCGGGGGGUAUGAACCAUGGAGAAGUUGGAAUACAGUAGAUAUAACACCAAUAUAAAUUUAAAAUGAGUUUACAACAAUACUAAAAGUGGUGAUUCAUUUUUUUUAUACUAACGGAUCUCAUGAGUUUUUUGUUGCGAAGUUUUCAAGUUUUGGAUAAAGAUUUGAUGGACUAUGGAAUAAGGAGUGGCAAGAGCCUAAGCUUGGGGAUGCCCAAGGCAUCCCAAGGUAAUAUUAAAGGACAACCAAGCAUCAAAGCUUGGGGAUGUCCCGGAUGGCAUCCCCUCUUUCGUCUUCGAUCCAUCGGUAAAUUUACUUGAGGCUAUAUUUUUAUUCAUCACAUGAUAUGUGUUUUGCUUGGAGCGUCUUGUAUGAUAUGAGUCUUUUCUUUUUAGUUUACCACAAUCAUCCUUGCUUCACACACCUUUUUAGAGGGACACGCAUGAAUCGUGAAUUUAUUAGAAUACUCUAUGUGCUUCACUUAUAUCUUUUGAGCUAGGCAAUUUGCUCUAGUGCUUUACUUAUAUCUUUUUGGAGCACGGUGGUAGCUUCAUUUUAUAGAAAUUGUUGAACUCUCAUGCUUCACUUAUAUUAUUUUGAGAGUCCCUAAACAGCAUGGUAAUUUGCUUAGGUUAUGAAUUUAGUCCUAAUAUGAUGGGCAUCCAUAUAAUAAAAACUUUCAUAUAAAGAGCAUUGAAUACUAUGAGAAGUUUGAUUCCUUACAUUUGUUUUGAGAUAUAAAGAUGGUCAUAUUAGAGUCAUGCUAGUGAGUAAUUGUGGAUUGGUAGAACUACUUGUGUUAAAGUUUGUGAUUCUCAUAGCAUGCACGUAUGGUGAAUCGUUAUAUGAUGAAGUCAGAGCAUGAUUUAUUUUUUGGAUUGUCUUCCUUAUGAGUGGCGGUCGGGGACGAGCGACGGUCUUUUCCUACCAAUCUAUCCCCCUAGGAGCAUGCGUGUAGUACUUUGUUUCGAUGGCUAAUAGACUUUUGCAAUAAGUAUGUGAGUUCUUUAUGACUAAUGUUGAGUCCAUGGAUUAUACGCACUCUCACCCUUCCACCUUUUCUAGCCUCUCUAGUACCACGCAACUUUCGCUGGUGCAUUAAACCCACCAUAUAACUUCCUCAAAAUAGCCACCAUACCUACCUAUUAUGGCAUUUCCAUAGCCAUUCCGAGAUAUAUUGCCAUGCAACUUCCACCGUUCUGUUUAUUAUGACACGCACCAUCAUUGUCAUAUUGCUUUGCAUGAUCAUGUAGUGGGCAUAGUAUUUGUGGCAAAGCCACAGUUCAUAUUUUUUUAUACAUGUCACUCUUGGUCAUUGCAUAUCCCGAUACACCGCUGGAGGCAUUCAUAUAGAGUCAUAUUUUGUUCUAGUAUUGAGUUGUAAUUCUUGAGUUGUGAAGUAAAUAAAAGUGUGAUGAUCAUCAUUAUUAGAGCAUUGCCCCAAGGGAGGAAAGGAUGAUAGAGCCUAUGAUUCCCCCACAAGUCGGGAUGAGACUCCGGACGAAAAGUAAAAAAUAAAAAAGAGAAAAAAGAGGCCAAAUAGCCCAAAAUAAAAAAAUGAGAGAAAAGAGAGAAGGGGCAAUGUUACUAUCCUUUUUCCACACUCGUGCUUCAAAGUAGCACCAUGAUCUUCAUGAUAGAGAGUCUCCUAUUUUGUCACUUUCAUAUACUAGUGGGAAUUUUCAUUAUAGAACUUGGCUUGUAUAUUCCAAUGAUGGGCUUCCUCAAAUUGCCCUAGGUCUUCGUGAGCAAGCAAGUUGGAUGCACACCCACUUAGUUUCUUUUUGAGCUUUAAUAAACUUAUAGCUCUAGGGCAUCCGUUGCAUGGCAAUCACUAAUCACUCACAUUGAUAUCUAUUGAUGGGAAUCUCCAUAGCCCGUUGAUAUGCCUAGUUGAUGUGAGACUAUCUCCUUCUUUUGUCUUCUCCACAACCACCAUAUUCUAUUCCACCUAUAGUGCUAUAUCCAUGGCUCAUGCUCAUGUAUUGCGUGAAAGUUGAAAUUUUUUGAGAACAUCAAAAGUAUGAAACAAUUGCUUGGCUUGUCAUCGGGGUUGUGCAUGAUAAAAUACUGUGUGAUGAAGAUGGAUCAUAGUCAGACUAUAUGAUUUUGUAGGGAUAAAGUUCUUUGGCCAUGUUAUUUUGGGAAGACAUGAUUGCUUUAUUAGUAUGCUUGAAGUACUAUUUUUCUUAUGUCAAUAUUAAACUUUUGGUUUGAAUCUUAUGGAUAUGAAUAUUCAUGCCACAAUAAAGAAAAAUACAUGGAUAAAUAUGUUAGGUAGCAUUUCACAUCAAAAAUUCUGUUUUUAUCAUUUACCUACUCGGGUACGAGUAGGAAUUAAGCUUGGGGAUGCUUGAUACGUCUCCGACGUAUCUAUAAUUUUUGAUUGUUCCAUGCUAUUAUAUUAUCUAUUUUGGAUGUGUUAUAUGCAUUAAUAUGCUAUUUUAUAUUAUUUUGGGACUACUUAUUAACCCAGAGCCCAGUGCCAGUUUAUGUUUUUUCCUUGUUUUUGAGUUUUACAGAAAAGGAAUAUCAAACUGAGUCCAAACGGAAUAAAACUUUUGCAAUGAUUUUUCUUGGACCAGAAGUCACCCAGCAAACUUGGGAAGGGGGGCAGAAGAGUCCCGAGGGCUCCACAAGCCCACAGGGUGCGCCCUAGGGGGGGCGCUCCACAGGCUUGUGGGGCCCCCGGGAGUCCACCGACCUCCCUCUUAGCUCUAUAAAUCCUAAAAUAUUCCCAAAACAACAGAAGCAUCCACCAAAAUACUUUUCCGCCGCCGCGAGCAUCCAUUCCCGUAAGAUCCCAUCUUGGGGCCUUUUCCGGCACCCUGCCGGAGGGGGAUUCGAUCACGGAGGGCAUGUACAUCAACUUUAUUGCCCUUCUGAUGAAGCGUGAGUAGUUUACCACAGACCUACGGGUCCAUAGCUAGUAGCUAGAUGGCUUCUUCUCUCUCUUUGAUCUUCAAUACAAUGUUCUCCUCGAUGUUCUAUCCGAUGUAAUAUUCUUUUGCGGUGUGUUUGUCAAGAUCCGAUGAAUUGUGGAUUUAUGAUCAGAUUAUCUAUGAAUAUUAUUUGAGUCUUUUUGAACUCUUUUAUGCAUGAUUAAAUAUCUUUGUAUUUCUCUUCGAAUUAUCGGUUUGGUUUGGCCAACUAGAUUGGUUUUUCUUGCAACGGUAGAUGUGCUUAGUUUUGGGUCCAAUCUUGCGGUGUCCUCACCCAGUGACAAAGUAGGGGUAGCGAGGCACGUAUUGUAUUGUUGCCAUCAAGGAUAAAAAUAUGGGGUUUAUAUCAUAUUGCUUGAGUUUAUCCCUCUACAUCAUGUCAUCUUACUUAAAGCGUUGCUCUGUUCUUAUGAACUUAAUACUCUAGAUGCAGGCAGGAGUCGGUCGAUGUGUGGAGUAAUAGUAGUAGAUGAAGAAUGGUUUCGGUCCACUUGACACGGACGUGAUGCCUAUAUUCAUAAUCAUUCCUUGGAUGUCGUCAUUGUAAGUGCAUCUAGUGCCACCCCUAGUUGGUUUUGGAGUAUUGACGACAAACUUGGUUGAGGGACUAAUGUGUUUGUGAGAAUUGCAGGAUAACACAGGUAGUAGUCCCUCAUUGAUUCGGUUUACCUACCAGAGAUGACCCCUAAAAAUGUGUGAAGACAUUGAAGACAAUGGUGGUAUGUGAAGAUAUUCACAAUGAAGAUUAUGACUCGAGAAGACAUUCACGUGAAGACUAUGGAGUGUGAAGACAUAGUUGUUUCAUAGUUCCCUUUUCUUCUUUGUUGAGUCAUAGGAACCACCGCACUGUUAAGUGGGGUCCAAGUGAACCAAGUCAGAGUGAAUGAAGUGAUGCUCAACCAAAUCCUAUGUCUUCGAGCGAAGACAAUGAGAGCAAAUCUUAUCCAGAGCUGGAUGAGUCAGCUUUACAUGUAGCCCAAGUCAAGCUGCCACGUGUGUUUGAAAUCUGACCGUUGGACACGUGUCAGUUCCUUAGUGACCCAGGGUCAUUUCGGACAAAUCAGGUCGGGUUGCCUCCUGGCUAUAAAUAGCCCACCCCCUACACCAUAAAUUGGUGGCUGCUCAGAGUUAGUGCACGACUUUUGUCGUUUGAGAGCAACCCACCUCCGAAGCAUUUGGGAGAGAGAUCCUUGCGAGGACAAAGCCCAGAACACCCAGAGCCAAAGAGUGUUAGGCAUCACUGAUGUCUUUCUGUCCACGUGACCUGAAGACUUGUUACACUUGAGGACUGUGAAUCCUCCAGCCGGUUAGGCGUCGCGUUCUGAGCAUCCAUGAGUCAUUGUGGAUUGCCGGUGAACGAAGUCUGUGAAGGUUUGGAAGUCUACCUUGAAGACUUACCAGAGUGAUUGGGCGAGGACUAAGUGUCCUUAGCUCAAGGGGAAUAAGGUGAAGACACGGUCUUCUGAGUUAAAUCUCAGCCUCCCUAACCAGGCUUACAGUUGUCACAGCAACUGGAACUGGUCCAACAAAUCCCUGUCCUCGCCGAGCAACUGGUUCUAUCUCUUCCCUCUUUUACUUACAGUUUGUCUUCGUGAAGUCAUUGCCUGCUUGCUUGAUCUGUUUGACUUCACUGUGUGACGACUAUUGUUGUUUGGCUUCAUACUAUCUUCCAUCCUGAUCUAUACUACCUAGCUGCUAAUAGUCUUCGUGCUUUCACUUCAUUACUUACUUGACUAUGGCUUGUCUAGUGUAGUCUACCUUCCGCUGCAUAUCAAUAGGUUCAUUUCUAUCGUUUGUCUUCAAAGCCCCCGUGUUUUCAAGACUUUCAUAAAAAUCGCCUAUUCACCCCCCCUCUAGUCGAUAACUAGCACUUUCAAUUGGUAUCAGAGCAAGGUGCCCCCUUGUUCUGUGUGAUUCGGUUUAACCGCCUGGAGUUUUAGCUAUGUCGACUGCAGGGAUAAUCAAAAUCUCGGCUGCGUGCCCUGUCUUUGAUGGCACCGAUUACCUCUACUGGAAGAAUAAGAUGUGCAUGCAUCUUGAAGCCAUUGAUGUCGACCUCUGGUAUGUCAUCAAGAAUGGCGUUCCCAAGGCCGGUGAAGGUGUCACCCCUGCUGAUGUCAAGAGGUUCAUUCAACUGGAUUCCACUGCCAAGAACAUCAUCUGUGGUCAUUUGACCAAAGGACAGUAUGGUCGUGUGAGUGCUCUGGAAACUGCGAAGCUAGUCUGGGACUGGCUCUCCAAGGUAAAUGAAGGCGUCUCAACCCAGAGAGACUCAAGGAUCAGUGUUCUUCACAACCUCUUCAACCGCUUCAAGAGAAAUGACAAUGAGAAUGUCCAGCUCACAUUUGAUCGCCUCACUGAUAUCACAAAUGAGCUUCAUGCACUCGGCGCUACUGAGAUCACCAAGCAUGAAAUCGUCAAGACACUUUUGAGAUCACUUGACAACUCAUUUGACACCCUGGCCCUGAUGAUUCAAGAACGUCCUGACUACAAGACUCUCGAUCCGUCUGACAUACUUGAAAGGCUCAACACACAUGAGUUCAAGUUAUCUGAGAAAAGAGAUAUCUAUGGUCCCAGUUAUGGUCGUACUCGCGCUUUGAAGGCAAAGGCUGUUUCCUCAUCUGAAGAAGAAUCUGACUGCAGUUCUGGGGAUCCUGAAGACAUUGGAAAGGAGCUUGCUAUGCUUGUGAAGAAGUUUCAGAAAUUCACCAAGAAGAAAGGCUGCAGAAAGUCUUCAAGAUCCAGCUCGAGAAAUGAUGAAGCUUCUACUCAUGACCACAAGAAGAGAACAUGCCACAAGUGCAAGAAACCUGGUCACUACAUCUCUGAGUGUCCACAGUGGGACAACGAGAACAAGAAGAAGAAGAAGAAGAAGAAGAAGAAGAGCAAGGAAUAUGAUUCUGAUGACAAGAAGAAGAAGAAAUCCUCAAAGUCUUCUUCCAAGUCUUCGUCCAAGUCUUCAUCAUACAAGAAGAGCUCAACUGGCAAGGCUCGUGAUUUUGUGCAAGGAGAUGGAUUCAGAGGAGGAGUUUGCUUCCGAGAAGGCAGAGGUGGAGUCUGAGGAGGAGUCCGACUCUGGCGUUGCAAGUCUGGCUCUAGCAACAACCUACGUUGCCAUGUCCAUCUUCAACACUGAAGACAAUGGCUCUGUCACCAACGCUGAUGCAAAUGACAAGGAUGACUUUGCUCCCACCUACUGCUUCAUGGCACGCGGUGCCAAGGUAAACUCACGCGAUGCCUACUUUCAAACAUCAAGUGAAGAUGACUCUGAUUGUGAAUCCAAACCUAGCUACAAAACACAUGCUAAAAUUGCAACUGAACAACAGAAAGCUAUGGAACAUAUUCAAAAAUUGCUAGACAAAAGCGAUGACCUGUUGGACACGGAAAUGACCCGAUAUCAGUCCUUAAUUGAAGACAUCAAAAAUCUUCAUGUUAAGUACGAGGAACUUGAAAGUCGUCAUGAAACGCUCUCAACAACUCAUGAAAAGCUUUCCUACGAUUAUCUUCAAAGGAAGCAAGACCUUGAGAAAUUGAGAGCGGCUCAUGAAGAUCUUCAAAAAGAGAACGAGUAACUUCGCGCUCAACAAAUCGGUCCCGAUCAGGAAGGAUUUGAACCACCAUGUCUAAAUUGCCUUGAGGGUGAUAACGCUACCUCUGUUGCUGAAUGUUCCACUGCUGCUACUGUUCCAAUAUCUUAAACUGCUGAUGUGGUAACUAACCCCUCGAUAGAGGAUACCACUACUAUUGCUGAUGAGAAUGCCAGGUUGAAGACAUUUCUUGAGACAGGGAUGUGCAAAAGUCUCAAAGGACAUCAGACACUGUGUGAUGUCCUCAAAAAGCAUAUUUUGAACCGAAACCCUAGGAAAGAGGGUGUUAGGUUUGAGAGGAAAUGAAUGUUGAUGGUUCUUACUGGAAGCCUGAGCAGUACCCCAAAACCACAUGGGUUGCUGCAAGGGGACCUUCAGUGGAUCCAACCACCUUAUCUGGCUUCACUUGUGCUAACUCGAUUAUCAUUGAUGAAUCCUUUGAUGCAAACUAUAAACUGUUUAAGAAUCAGAGUGGUGAAGUGUUUGCCAGGUAUAUUGGUACUAACUGCAGGAAUGGACCACCUUUGAAGAGGAUCUGGGUGCCCAAGAGUUGUCUUGAGAAUCUUCGGGUGAAUGUCAUCAUGACACCACCUGGUAAGAAGAAAACCCUAGACCAAAGGCUUCAUAUGGUCCAAAGGCUUCAUACAGACAGAGGACUCACCAGAGUCACCCUAAUGCCAAUGUUUUCCAGGGAAAUCACACCAGACUUGUGAAUAUGAGCGCGUUUCUUCAAACCGCUAUGUUCAUAAGACUAUGAACUAUUUUGCUUAUUCUUAUGAGUAUUAUUCACCUCCUGCAAGGCUAUUUGCUAGGUCUCCAAAGCCGAAGUUCUCAAAUGCUGCACUUAGACUCAUUGCUUCGAAGCCACCCCUAAAAAUGUGGGUGGUUAAGAAAACUUAACUCUCUUUUGCAGGGAAAGGUCUCCAGCCGGAAAUCAAAGGCGUCUGAUGCUAUUGCUGGGGACCUAAAACAUCUUGUGGGGCGCAAGAUAAAAUGCCCAAAUGGUCUUACUAUGUAUUUUGUUCCUGAAUCACUUGCCAAUCAUCCUAUCAGUCCUAACCUGGAUCUAAGCUUUGAUAAUCCGCUUAUUCGUCAAAUGUUUAUGCUGCACAAUACCCUUGGUGAAGCCUAUCCCCCUAACUGCACUGUAGGGUAUGACACCACAUGCUUCAGAAUGGAUUAUGGACAGUGGAUGCACUAAUCACAUGACUGGUGAUCGAAGUCUUCUCAUGGACUCAACCUUACGUCCAUCUGACAAGAGUCACAUCACAUUUGCUGACACUGGUAAAAGCAAGGUAUUGGGUCUAGGUAGAGUUGCAAUCUCAAAGGAUCAACACAUGGAUAAAGUGAUGCUUGUUGAAUCCCUUGGUUUCAACUUAAUGUCUGUCUCAAUGCUUUGUGAUUUGAGCAUGAUUGUGAUAUUUGGAAAAUAUCGUUGCCUUGUUCUGAUGGAAUCUGACAAGUCUCUAGUCUUUGAAGGGUAUCGGAAAGAUGAUCUGUAUAUGGUAGAUUUCUCAGCAGGACCACAGUUGGCCGUAUUGCCUUCUAGCAAAAGCUUCAGAGUACUGGCACUGGCAUCGGAGGCUAGGGCAUGCUGGCAUGAGGAACUUGUACACUCUCGCAAAGAAGAAACAUGUCGUAGGCAUCGAGGGCGUCAAGUUCAAGAAGGAUCAUCUGUGUGGUGCCUGCGAAGCUGGAAAGAUGACUAGGGCCAAGCAUCCCUCGAAGACAAUCAUGACUACAUCUCAACCCUUCGAGCUGCUUCACAUGGACUUAUCAUGACUACCACUGCUUGUCUCUAUGGCUUCGUCAUUGUUUAUGAUUAUUCGAGAUAUACAUGGGUGCAUAUAAUUCUCUACAAGAAUGAAGUGCAGGAUGUCUUCAGACGAUUUGCCAACCGUACCAUGACGAACUAUGGCAUCAAGAUCAAGCACAUUAGAAGUGACAAUGGCACAUAGUUCAAGAACACAGGCCUCGACACUUACCUUGAUACAUUGGGCAUCACUCAUGAGUUCUCAGCUCCGUACACACCUCAGCAGAAUGGCAUCGUGGAUCGCAAGAACAUGACACUCAUUGAGAUGGCUCGGACGAUGCUUGAUGAGUACAAGACUCCAAGGAAGUUCUGGCCUGAAGCCAUUGAUAUAGCAUGCCACGUCAUCAACCGUGUUUAUCUUCACAAGCUUCUAAAGAAGACAUCCGAUUAGCUCCUAACUAGUAAGAAGCCAAACGUCAGUUACUUCAGAGUAUUUGGUGCUAGGUGCUGGAUCAAGGAUCCACAUCACACUUCAAAAUUUGCACCGAAAGCACAUGAAUGUUUUAUGCUUGGUUACGGAAAGGAUUCACACUCCUACAGAGUCUUCAACCUCUUUCACUAUAAAGUGGUUGAAACUGUGGAUGAGCGGUUCGAUGAGACUAACGGCUCGCAAAGAGAGCACCUGCCAAAUGUGCUAGAUGAAGUCCCACCUAGUGAAUCCAUCAAGCUUAUGGGAACUAGAGAAAUGAUACCUUCAGAGGCACAGGCUGAAGACGAACUUAUCAUUUCUGCGCCAAACCAACCUGGAGACACUGCUCAGCCUGAAGCCAAUGCUGAUAACAAAGACAAUGGUCAACAAGGGCAAAAUCUUCGUCCAGUUCAUCCCCGUGUUGCAAAUGAAGUACAGAUUGAGAAGAUAAUUGAUAGCAUCAAUGCACCUGGUGCACUCACUCGUUCAAGAGCAACUCAGCUAGCAAAUUUCUGUGGCACUUUGCAUCUGUCUCUAUAUCUGAACCCAAGAAAGUUGCUGAAGCCUUCAUGGAACCUGAAUGGAUUCAAGCUAUGCAAGAAGAGCUUCAACAGUUCGAGCUGAACAAUGUGUGGGAAUUAGUCAAGCGUCCUGACCCUCGCAAGCACAAUAUCGUUGGCACCAAAUGGAUCUAUCACAACAAACAAGAUGAGCAUGGUCAAGUUGUCAAAAACAAGGCUCGUCUCGUUGCUCAUGGAUACACUCAAGUUGAGACUUCGAUGAAACAUUUGCUCCCGUGGCUAGGCUUGAAGCCAUUCGCAUACUACUAGCCUAUGCCAACCAGCACAACAUCCUUCUAUAUCAAAUGGAUGUGAAGAGUGCCUUUCUCAACAGCAAGAUUGAAGAAGAAGUGUAUGUUGCACAACCACCUGGCUUUGAAGAUCAAAACAUCCUGAUAUGGUAUACAAGCCCAACAAGGCACUAUAUGGCCUCAGAAAAGCCCCUCGUGCUUGGUAUGACACACUCAAAGACUUCCUGAAGAGCAAAGGCUUCAAACCUGGUUCCCUCGAUCCAACUCUCUUCACGAAGACAUACGAUGGUGAACUGUUUGUGUGCCAAAUCUAUGUGGAUGACAUUAUCUUCGGCUGCACUGACAAAAGAUACAGUGAUGAGUUUGGGCACAUGAUGCAAGAGCAAUAUCAGAUGUCCAUGAUGGGUGAGCUGAAGUUCUUCCUUGGUCUUCAAAUUCGUUAGCAGAGCAACGACAUCUUCAUAUCCCAAGAGAAGUACCUCAAAGAUUGCCCGAAGAAGUUUGGAAUGCAAGACUGCAAAGGUUACUCAAUGCCAAUGCCAACCAAAAGUCAUCUGGGCCCCGACGACAAUGGUAAAGAGUUCGAUCAAAAGGUAUGUCGCUCCCUGAUUGGUUCUUUACUCUAUUUAUGUGCAUCUAGGCCAGAUAUCAUGCUUAGCGUUUGCAUGUGUGCCCGAUUCCAAGCGGCACCAAAGGAAUCGCAUCACUUAGCUGUGAAGCAAAUUCUUCGAUAUUUGGCUUACACCCCAACACUAGGAGUAUGGUAUCCAAAGGGCUCAGAGUUUUAUCUAGUUGGAUUCUCAGAUGCUGAUUAUGCUGGUGACAAGGUUGAUCGCAAGUCCACAUCAGGUACAUGCCACUUUCUUGGACGAUCUCUUGUCUGUUGGUCUUCAAAGAAGCAGAACUGUGUGUCUCUCUCCACUGUUGAAUCCGAAUACAUUGCUGCUGGAUCUUGCUGUGCUCAGCUUCUAUGGAUGAAGCAAACUCUCAAGGACUACGGCAUCCACCUGAAGCAAGUGCCACUUUACUGCGACAAUGAAAGCGCCAUCAAGAUUGCCAACAACCCAGUUCAACACUCGAAGACAAAGCACAUUGAAAUUCGUCAUCACUUUCUCAGAGAUCAUGUCAUGAAGGGAGAUAUUGAUAUCAUUCACAUCAACACCGAAGAGCAAUUGGCAGAUAUCUUCACAAAGCCCCUGGAUGAGAAAAGGUUUUGCAAGUUGCGGUGUGAGCUAGAUAUCUUAGAAUCCUCGAAUGUCCUGUGAUUGGACACACAUCCUAACGCCUAUGCAUGUUGAUGACUUAGAUGUGCAACACACGAAGUAAAGUAUAUCUUCAAUCAAUGAAGACAUACACUCUAAGUGUGAAUACAUUAAUGUGGAAUUUGACUUCGGAGCGCCAUGAUAAUUGUGCGCUAUGUAUGGGUCUAAUACUUCCUAUACGGUGGGUAACGCCACCACCAAACUUUUGUUUGAAGUGUUUCGUUUGGCGUCAAAUUUGCAAAGUCUUUGCAUUUGGUUUGUCUUCAACAUUGAUUUGACUUCAUGUUUAUCUUCACAAUGUUGAUUUGGUCUUAUUCUGAUAUAUACAUAUAUUUGUGUUCUGUCCUCUACAGCAUUCACUUAUGGCUAUAUCUUCAUGUUUGAAUCUUUUGAUCUAAGUGAAUGUGAUCGGACCCUAACCCCUUUUCUAUGCUUCUAUCUCAGAUUCUAUCUAUCUAAAUCAUAUGCAUUCUAUUGAAACUGUCGAAUGUCUUCUCCGUGUCCUUGUAAGCAGAAGAUACAGAGACAAAAGUUGAAUCUGUUGUAAUGUCAUAUCCUUAUUGCCUGAAACCCGGAGAAGCCAGAACGACCACCCGACAGUCCAGGCGUGCGUGGGAACAUGGAACAACUUCCAAUGUGUUGCAUGCAUGCCACGUGUCCUUCAGAUGUGAACCGCCAGGGGCACCUGCGUAAUUAUGUUGUGCUGUCCCUUUCCUAAUAUAUACACAACUCGCCGCGGUCAUAAUCCCUUCUUCCACCUCGCCACCUCGCACAAACCCUAGCGCCUCCGCUAGCUCACGUCGACGCCUGAGACGAAGCGCUUAGCUGCCGCGUCUUCUUCGACGCCGUUCUCAAGCCGGCUGCGGACCUCGUCCUCUCCGCUGCCGCCGUAGGUGUCUUCUGCCGCCAAGUUAGGGCGCGGGAGAUUGAACUGCUCGGCCUCCCUCUCAACUUCGUCUAGCAGUUCUUCGUGCGGUAAUUAAAACUUACUUUUUACUGCCUUUUUGAUUCAUCAGAUCCAUCCACUUCAACCAAAAGUGGUUUCUCAACUUCCAAAACUGGAUCUAUCUUCUUCUGCAUCUCAUAUCUUGCAAAGUAUAUUCACUUAUGCUUCACAACUAGUUAGAUUCCUCACUUGUACUUAUUCUUGGAUUCGUACAAAUCUGGAACCGACUCUCACCAAAUAAGUGAAUAUCUUCGCGCUAUGAGGUCAAUGACUUCAAACUGAUUUAUCUUCAAAAUCUUCUGAGAAUGCAUAUGACCUCUUUCCCUUCCCUCGCACCUCUAAUAUUGUCGCAGGUACAUCUCCGUGGGAGAAUCCCUUGCUUCUCAUAGUCUGCAUUCAUUUGCAGAAUUCUUACAGUGACACAUCGAUUCUCCUGAAGCCAGUUCAUGUCUGACCAGCAAAAGGAAGCCAUUCACUGUAUUGAAGCCUUUCAGUCUGAAUAUUAUGGCAACUGAAAAAUCUGCAAGGAAAGGCGGCAGGCAGCGCCAUGGAGAUACAUCCAAGGAUUUACCUCCUGAUCUGUAUGAACUGUACAAGACAGAUCCUGAAGAGAACUAUGGUCAGCGCAAGACUCGAAUCCAAUGGAUUCGAAGAUAUUGGGCGGAACAAUGGUUCCUAUACAGAUAUGUGACUACUGAAUAUGCUGAAAAGAAUGCCAUCAAGCGACCAUGGGGAGAUAUUCUAUACAAAAAUCUUCAGCCCAAGUCCAAGUCCGAAGCCAUUGCUCAAGGCUUCUAUCCUUGCAUGGUCCGAGGACCAAAGCCAGAGAAUGCUGACACAUCUUCUCUGUUAUGGUGUCGCGACGACAAUCUGUUCAAGCAUAACUAUAAGUUUGCAAAAGAUUCUGAUGUGAAGAACAAGAAAGCAUUUGGACUCGACUUCAACCCUGGUCCAUCUGCUCCAAGGGCUGAUGGCACCCGUGAUGCAAAUCCAAACGUCGUCGGCCCCUUCUAUAACCUCGAAGGCCUCAUCACUCACAUAGCAGUACAGGGGGCUGCUGUGGAUCACUCAACGGAUGAUGCAGAUUCUGAUGAAGCGCCAGCUCCACCUAAGCCGCAGAAGCAAAAGAAAACAAAGGCUUCAAAGCCCUCUACCGCACCAAGAGCUUCGCGUGUGAAGCCAUUGGCCUCUGCACCUCCUGAUGCCAGUGUGUAAUCUGAAGAUCUUUCUCGUAUAUCCAAGAAGACAGAGAAAUCCAAGAAGAAGAAGAAGCCCAUCAAGAGUUCUGCUCAAGAAGACCCCUGCUGCAUUUCUGCGCAAUGAGGAUGCCACCAUUGAUCUGUCCAGCGAUGAAGAUCUUGGUGAUGAUGCCCUUGAGCUGCUGAUCGAUAGCAAGCAAGAGGCGGAGAUCUUCAAUGAUCUGCCCCUAUUCGAUGUGGAUAUUCUGAACAACUUCAUCGAUGAGUGGUUUGACAACCCAAGCCUCAGCAUUGAUGAUCUUCAGCUCCUGGUGGACAUAAGCGUCACCUUCCAUGAAGCCAUUGCCAGUGAGCUGGCUCUGGCUCAGAAGAUUGUUGAGCUGAAAAACAAGAUUGACUAUGAGAAAGCUCUCUUGAAGAAGAACAUGGCCAAGCUCAGCGUGGCAGAUGUUCAAAGCUUCAAGAAAAUGCUGCAUGAGCAUAAAGAGCUAUUUCACAAGAAGCGUGAAGAAGAAAAAGGUUCAAGAGAGCAAAUGAAAUACUUCACAGAAAAAUGUGUUCAAGCACACAAUGAGGCAGAAAAGCGCAAGGCUCUUGGGCGUCCAGAAAUUGACCCCAAGAUGGCUGCCAAACAAAAGAAGAAGUCUGAUGUGGCCCAAGCUGAAGCAUCAAGGCAGGAAGCACCUCAUGUUGUCUUCCCUGCCAGCAUGACAGGCUCAAAGCCUAAGGUCCCCUCAGCAGCUUCAGAACUGAAGAAGACAAGGGCAGCUGAGGCUGAAGCCAAGAAGCGCAAGCACAAGAAUGCCUCUGAUGGUACUCCAUCAACAAAGAAGCCGAUGACAAAGUCUUCGUGGAAAGAGCAUGCUGCUGCCACAGAGCCACUUGUUGUCGAGCCCAUCUCCGUUGCUCGUCCUGCCUCCACCAACCAAGAGCGUCCACUUGUAGUUCACGAGCCUGCUUCCACAGAGGCUCCUGAAGAUGAAGAAAUUCCAGCUGUCGACCCCAUCACAGCUGAAGACAUUGGUCAUGGCGACAAUGUAGAAGAUGAUGAAGUCCUUCCACAGAUCGAGCACCAACUGGUAUCAUCGCCUGUUCUUACGAACAGCGAACUCAUCAGCAUUGGUCGUCUCUUGACGCCAAUUAUUGCUUAGGAUGCAUCGUGGGCUGAUCACCCUCAACAAGACACACCAAGUCAAGAUGACACACACAGUACUCCACCACCUCAAGUCACCACUCCGGUGCUUGACGAUGACAAUUACAUGGUGCAGACCACUCCCUCAUCACAGGCGUCGCCAGCUUUCCGCAGGCUUCGCAAAGGCCCUAGGCCAUAGGUCGCCAUGUCGAGCAUUUCGGAAGGGGAAGCGCCUCAAAACUCAGUGGCACGUCAAGUGUUUCCUGACGCCACCCCUACCAUGAAUGUCUCUGAGUCCGAAGCCAAAGCUGAUGAAGACAUUCCGGCUGCAUCAGCCGAUGACAAUCAAGAACCAAGAGAACAAGAAAGAGUUGCCACACCCCCUGUUACUCAAGAAGUUGUUCUCGAGGAGAACGUGUCUAUGCCCGACCCUCCUGCCACUGAAACGGAGGUUGAAAACAUUGAGGCGGCCACAAACAACUCUGCUGAAGCCAAUGACAUUGUCAUGGCUGAAGACACUGUGGCGCCUGAAGCUAAUGUUGCGCCUGAAGCUAGUGUGCAACUGAAGCCAUAGUCAAUGCUGAAGCUGCUGUUCCACCCCCAAGGCCUCACACUAUUGAGCAGGCAUAUGAUCGCGGCCAACUUUUCACUGUCCGAUGGCCAGUUCUGCUUCCUCCCACUGCUCCCGGACCACAAUUUGAAUACCAUGUGGAGCAAAGGCCUCAGGUCCAGAAGCCAAAGCCCAGAGUGCCAAGAUUUCCUGGUGCUGCAACAUCGCCAAGAUCGUUCAAUGUAAACAGCUUCAGGGCACACAACACAUUCUUUGAUAGUGCCAAGAACCCAUACUCGAAGCCAAAGAUCUCAUCUGAUCGCUUCUGGAGCUAUCAGCAGCGCAGUUAUUACUCAUGUAUCUUAUACAAUCAAGGGCGAAUCUUUCCUCACAUGCGUCUGGAUUGUGAAGCCAUUGUUGGUCUGCCCUGCUUGGAAGAAGCUCUAGACUGUUUCAGAGAUGCUGGCCUUCUGCAGUUCGUAACUGACAAAGAGCAUUGGAAUGGGGAGCUUCUGCUGCAAUUCUAUGCCACUCUUCACAUUCGUGGCUACAACAGGGAUCUGAAGACUUGGGUCCUUGAGUGGAUGACAGGUGAUGUGCACCAUGAAGCCAAAGCUCAAGAUAUCAUUGAGCUUACUUCCCUGCCCACUCCAGGUGAGCUCUAUGAACCUGGUUGUCAGCUACACGGAAAUGCAUUGGAGAGCAUAUUUCAUAAGCCUGUGCCCAACAUGAGUCAGAUGCUCAGCAUGAUGAAGCCACUGCCACAAGGUGCUGAAUAUCCUAAGGAAUUCUUUGUCGAAGACCUCGAGUAUUUGCCCCGUACCAUUUAUCACAUUGUAAGGCGAACUCUAUGGCCCGUCAAAGGACAUUCUCCUGCAGCCAAGCUUGAAGGCACGAUGAAGACAUUGGUGUUCUAUAUUCUCAAUGGCAACAGCUUCAAUGCUCAAGAUUUCUUCAUCAGGCAACUUGCAGCAUCUGGAGUUUUAUGCUCCAUGGGUGAUGCUCCACGGAGAGAGUUGGGGAUUUUAUUAUUUUCAUAUUUGAAUUUUCUCAAAUAUUGAAAAGGGGAUCAUUUUGGUUUUAAUUAUUUUUCCCUCCAAAAAUAUUUCAAAUUAAAAUAUAUGAGAGGAGAUAAUAUGACUUCUCCAAAAUAAAUGAAAUAUUGGAGGAAAAAGGUUAAAAUCAAAUAAAUAAUUUUAUUUGGGUUUUAUUGCUAUUUUAUUUGAAUUAGAAAAAAAUAUGCAUUUUUCAAAAAUUGCAUUUUAGGCCAAGAAAAUGUUCACUUUGUUCUAAAUAUUUUAUUUAGACGGUGAAAAUUGUUUUUGGCAUUUUUAGAUUUUUUUAUUUAUUUAGGAUUUUCUCGGCGGAAUUUAUUUAAAAAAAUUCUUCCGGACUGAACUAGGCCGAGGCCCAGCCGGCCCCACCGCGCGCCUGUCGCUCCGAUUCGGGAGAGGACUCCCGAGCGCCGCCGCCGCCGCCAUGGACGUGUCUGUCCCGGACACGCUGCUAUCGUCCCCUUCCCCAAGCACCAAGUGCCCCCCGGCCUUUAAAUACCCGCCGCCGCCCCUCGCCACCACCUCGAGCCGCGCCGCCAGCCCCGCCUCCUGCGCCGCACGCCGCCGCCGCCGCAUCCCGCCGCCGCGCCGCCGUCGCCUAGCCUCGCCGGAGCCGCCGCUUCACGCCGCCCCGUCGCCGUUUUUUCGGUUUAGGUAAACCAAUCGGUUUGUUUUUAGAAAACCCUAGAUGCGUUUUUUUCUCUAGACCGGUUCGGUUUUUCUUUGAUUUAGUUAUUUAGUAAACGUUCAUUUGUUCGUUCGUUUUAAUGAACGAAUUCGUUCUUUAGCCUCUGUUAGCGGACGUUCGUCCGAUAGUUUUUUCUUUUUUUGUUUAUUUUCGGCCAGGGACCUACCCAUGAUUAUUUUUAUCGCAGAUUAGCCCCUGAUCUUCAAACCCUCGCCGUUUCUUAACCGUUUGUCCAAAUCCAGUGAAACCAAUGCCAAAAUCUUCAUCUCGAGCCCCUCCUUCUGUUUAAUCAACUUGAACAAGGUUUUGACAAUUUAAAAUUGGAUUUCAAGCAUAUUUGAAUUUGAGGUUCUUUUGACCGUAGUUUCAGUUCCGUAGCUCCGGUUCGAUUGUUUCAUUUUGCAAAUCGAAUCUCUUCAGUUGAACUUUCAGAUUUGAUCUUCUUAUUUGAGUUUUACCCGUGCAUCUUUGCUUGAGUGCUUAUGUAUGCUAUUGUUUGUUUGCGAUAGAAUUCCCGGAGUGCGAAGCGUGCUACUAUGAGUCUCUAGGGUUUGCGGAUCGUCAGCAAGGCAAGUAACACAUUGAUCAUACUCUUUUCAUACCCAGUUUUUAUGCAUUAGUUACAACCCUCAAACAUUGCAUGAGUAGGAUCUCUUAACAUGUGGGUUUUGGGAAGUAGAUGAUGAGGUAGAACCUAUUGCCCUUUAUUAUCAAACCCUUGGGAGUUACUUCUACGCUAUGCUUAUAUUGCCAUGCUAUGCUCGUAGACGUGGAUUGGGUUUGAGUGUAUCCAUGACAGAUCUGAGAUUGUUAAUUAAUGAUUAACUUAAGGUGGCUACUUAAAUACACGUCUGGGUGGAUUGGUUGCGGGCACCUGGAGAAGCAAGUGUUGUCCUAGGAUAUCCCGGAGUACCCGUGUGAUCAUCCUAUGGUUCGCCACCCAGACUCAAAGGGAUCAUAAGAUUAUUCAUGCUGGAAACUUCCGUGUGCAGCCACAAGCUAUUAUGGGCUCUAGCAUAGUCGAGUAUGUUGCAUGACCUCUUCCAGUGGUAGGCUAGCAUAUGUAGGGGAUGUAGGUUGGUACUGUCACCCAGGGUUAGAGCUAAUGCUUCUGAAAGACUGUGUCUCGGUCAUCCGUUUCUCAAACACCAUGUAGUGCGAGAAAUCCAACGGAGGAGAUCGAGUCUUGUGGGGAAAAGUGCGCAAACCUCUGCAGAGUGUACAAACUAAUCAUGGUUAGCCGUGUCCUCGGUUAUGGACAUUUUGAGUAUCUGGUUCUUGGAUUGUCAUGUUGAUCUCAUCACUCUAAAUUAAUUUGUUGGGUUAUUAGUUACUUGCUUAAAUGGGAUUGAGUUGGAGGAACCUUCUCAAUGUUUAACAACUACCAUGAUAGUUAAACGAAAUAUAUUCCUUUGUUGUAGGAAAAAAUUGGCUUUUCGCAAAACAUUAUAACCAUAGAGCCUCCACCAGCCAUAUAUGCAUGUAGUGGUAGCAUUUUACCUGUUCAUUGCUCUACUGUGUUAUCUUUCCAGCAUAUUCCAUGUGCUGACCCGUUUCGGGCUGCAACAUGUCAUGUUGCAGACUUUUCAGACGAAGAGUAAGGUGCGCUAGGUUGUUGUCGUGCACUCAGCUAUGCCGUUGGAGUUGAUGGACUCACUUUAUCUUCCAAGCCUUCCGCUGUUAUCUUAUUUAGAUGGCCUUAAGCCAUAUUUAUUGUAAUAAGUUCUCUCUUGAGACUAUCGAUGUAAUAAGUGUGUGAUUGCUACUCUAUUAUAAAUCCUUCGAGUACUGUGUGUGUCAGCAUUACCGAUCCAGGGAUGACACUUAUACACAGAGAUUUGACCGUCUGAGGUCAGAUCGCUACAAGAUGGUAUCAGAGCACACGCUGAAUGUAGGACACGACCACUAAGGUGAGCCAUAGGUCACUCUUCUCUACUUAUUUCUGACUCCUCUCCAUUUUCUACUCUAUAGGAUGGCAGACUCAAGGAACAAGUUUGCACAACUGGAUGAAGACACACCCUUUGGACGACACUUGAAGGAAGUCACUAGGUACCUGAACAUCGGAAUACCAAGCUUCACCGGGACCUACACCGCUACUUUACCAGAAGAGGAGCAUUGGAUGAUUUGAGUUCAAGUUUCAGGAAGGACAUUCACGCCGGUCACUGAGCCCAUAGGGUUUUCCUUUGAUGCACCAACCUGGAGUCUAGGUAAGAGCAUGGCAGCCCACAUCGCCAUGGGACGCAUCGGCGAAGUUUAUCACAAGGAUAUUAAGGACACCAUCUACCAGAUAUGUGGGCGCCGAGAUGAGAAAUGGGAGAUGAUCAGCACCAGGAGGGACAGGUCCAUUGCAGCUUUCAUCCAGGAGUUAAACUAGCACAUCCGCCGAUAAGAGAACCAGAUGUGUGCAAGCAUGAUAGACCUGAAGAAGGUGAUGACCAGGAACAUGGAGAUAUAAGAGGAACUCAAGUCUACACGCGGCGAAUACGAGGAGGAAAUCGCAAUACUAGUGGAGAAGAAUGACGACCUGACAAGGAAGCUAGGAGUAUUCAUGGGAGAUCCCGCGCCAGGAGGAGAUGACGACCAUCACGACGACAUCCGUUCGGAGGACUACAUCAUCAUCGACGACACCGACUCCGACCCUGAUAGUAGUGAUGAUGACUAUGAAGACGAAGCUGGAGCGGAUAUCAUGGAGUCUUCCACCGAUCAAAAUUUCUAGUAGACCACCACAUUAUCAGUAGUAUUCCCCCCAUGUAUAUAUUAGUAGUCUGAGCACUGUAACGAUAGUUAGAUCGAUUGUAUGCCCUUGCUUGAAUUGAUUUUGGUGUGAUAUGAAUGUGUUUGUCUCAUGUGCAUAUGGGUAGUGCUUUCUCACUAGACCUCAUUCUAUUCUAAUCUCUCCCCUCUAAACCCAUCAGAUGCCUCCGAGACGUGACCCCGGUUUUGUCUUCCCACCAGAGCUCACCCAGUUGAUCCAACAGCAGAAUGCCUUGAUGCGCUACUAGUCCAGAACCAAGGCAACAACAACAACAACAACAACAACAACAACCACCCACCACCACCACCUCCAGUUGACAACUUAGCCCAUUUUCUGAAGUUGCAACCGCCGGUGUUUUCCAGUAGCACCGAGCCAAUAGUUGCUGAUGACUAGCUACGCAGGAUUGGAAGGGAGUUGACCACCGCAGGUUGCACAGAUGCUGAGAAGGUGCGUUUUGCCGCACAUCAAUUGGAUGGACCUGCAGCCUCAUGGUGGGAGAAUUAUACAGCCACUUUUCCUAGAGCCAAUGUCACUUGGGAGCAGUUUCAGCAAGCAUUCUGCACUGCCCAUGUCUCAACUGGAGCUAUGAGCAUGAAGAAGCGUGAGUUUCGCAACUUGCGCCAAGGAAACCGUACUUUGGGGUAGUACGUGGAUGAGUUCAGCAAGUUAGCUCGCUAUGCCCCGGAUGAUGUGGCCACAGAUGCCGCAAAGCAGGAGAAGUUUAUGGAAGGGCUGAAUGAUGAGAUGAGUAUGCAGUUAAUGGUGGCAACAUUUAACAACUACCAGGAGUUGGUAGACAAGGCUCUUAUGAUUGAAGGGAAGCAGCAGCGGAUUGAGAGUCGCAAGAGGAAGUAUGGACAAGGGAAGUACAAUUCAGGAGCUCAGCAGAAGCCUCGUUUUACCCCGAACUCGGGAGGAUAUACCCAUAACCAUGGAGGCCACACCCACAAUGGAGGAAGUUCGCAUAACCACAGUGGCCCCAAGAAUGGAAACGGGAAUGGAGCAAGCAGCAAUCAGAACCGCUCUAACCUCGCAACGCCCGCCAAGAAGGAUCUAAGUCACAUUACUUGUUUCAAGUGCGGGAAGACUGGACACUACGCCACUGAGUUCCCUGAGCCAAAGAAUGGGAAUGGCAAUGGAAGCUCUGGGAAGAAGCCCAACCCUUUCCAUAGGGGACAAGUGAACUACGUGAACGUGGAGGAGGUUGAAGAGCAGCCAGAUGCAGUUGUCGGUAAGUUUUUGGUUAAGUCAUUUACCGCUCUUGUUCUUUUUAUACAGGUGCAUCGCACUCAUACAUUUCAAGGGGAUUUGUGGACAAGUUUAAGUUGCCCACCUUAGCCCUUAGGACACCCUUGUUAAUAAGCUCACCAGGUGCAGAGUAUAUGGCCAGCCGAUGGUGCGACCGGAUACCCUUAACCAUUGGUAGCCAUGUUUUCCCCUCAGACCUAAUAAUCUUGGAGUCACAAGGAUUGGAUGUGAUACUAGGAAUGGACUGGCUAUCGAAGUAUGGAGGAAACAUUGACUGUGCUAGUAGGUCAAUUCUACUCACCACCCCGAAGGGAAAAAGGAUUAAGUAUGUAUCUAGGCAUGCACCAAGGAGGACCCAAGUAAAUUCCCUCUCAGGAGUUGUUCAGGAGGAAGUGCCUGUAGUGAAGGAUUACCCGGAUGUAUUUCCAGAGGAGUUACCAGGCAUGCCGCCAGAUCGUGACAUUGAGUUUUUCAUAGAGUUGUUGCCGGGCACCGGACCAAUAUCGAAGAGACCAUACCGGAUGCCCGCGAAUGACCUGGAGGAGAUCAAAAAGCAGAUUAAGGAGUUAUUGGAAAAAGCUUACAUUCGACGAAGUUCGUCACCGUCGGGAGCCCCAAUGCUCUUGGUUGAGAAGAAGGAUGGAUCCUUGAGAAUGGUUUUUGAUUAUCAGGCAUUGAAUGAAGUGACGAUUAAGAAUAGGUACCCACUACCGAUGAUCAACGAUUUGUUUGACCAGCUGCAAGGAGCAAAAGUGUUUUCAAAGAUCGACUUGCGAUCGGGAUACCACAAGCUGAAGAUUCGAGAACAGGAUAUACCUAAGACAGCCUUCACCACAAGGUACGGGCUAUACGAGUACACGGUUAUGUCAUUCAGAAUGACUAAUGCCCCUGCCUAUUUCACGAGUAUGAUGAAUAAGGUGUUCAUGGAGUUCUUGGAUAAGUUUGUUGUGGUGUUCAUUGAUGAUAUUUUGGUAUACUCGAAGAAUGAAGAGGAACACAAGGAGCAUUUGCGUCUAGUUCUCGAGAAGCUCAGGGAACAUCAGCUAUAUGCCAAGUUCAGUAAAUGUGAGUUUUGGUUGAAGGAAGUAGGAUUUCUUGGGCAUGUCAUAUCAGGAGAAGGUAUAGCAGUAGACCCUACCAAGGUUCAGUCCAUCACUGAUUGGCUAGCACCCACCUUAGUUGGAAAGAUCUGCAGUUUUCUUGGACUCGCGGGAUAUUAUCGGAGAUUCGUCGAGAAUUUCUCUAAGAUUGCGAAUCCCAUGACGGAGUUGUUGAAGAAGGACACCAAGUUCUAAUGGACAGAUGAAUGUGAGGCAAGUUUCCAGGAGCUGAAGAAACGUUUGGUUACAGCCCCAGUGCUGAUUCUGCCAGAUAUACACAAGGAUUUCCAAGUGUAUUGCGACGCAUCUCGCUUAGGACUUGGAGGUGUACUUAUGCAAGAUGGAAGAGUUGUUUCAUAUGCCUCACAACAGCUUCGACCGCAUGAGUUGAAUUACGCCACACAUGAUUUGGAGUUAGCAGCCGUAGUGCAUGCACUCAAGACCUGGAGACAUUUUCUUAUUGGAAAUCGUUGUGAUGUGUACACGGAUCAUAAGAGUUUGAAGUACAUUUUCACACAGAAUGAGCUGAAUCUCAGGCAGAGGAGAUGGUUGGAGCUUAUAAAGGAUUAUGACAUGAAGCUGCACUAUCAUCCAGGCAAGGCCAAUGUCGUAGAAGACACUUUGAGCCGGAAGAGUUACGCCAAUACCCUCGUAAGAGAAGGAUUACCAACGGAGUUAGCCGAAGAUCUCAGGGAGCUUCGUUUGGAGAUAGUCCCUAGAGGUUUUGUUGCAGCAUUAGAGGUUCAGUCAACAUUAUUGGGAAAGAUUCGAGAAGCUCAGAAGGAUGACAAGGAAAUUGCCGAGAUAAAGGAGAGAAUGAGCAAAGGAAAAGCUAAAGGUGUUCGUGAGGAUGAGCACGAUACCUUGUGGUUUGAGGACCGUGUUUAUGUGCCCAAUAAUGCCGAGAUCAGGAAGUUUAUACUACAAGAAGCUCAUGAUUCGCCAUACUCGAUACACCCCAGAAACACCAAGAUGUAUUUGGAUUUAAAGGAGCGUUUCUGGUGGACUGGUAUGAAGAAGGAUAUUGCCGAGUAUGUAGCCGUAUGUGAUGUAUGUCAGAGAGUGAAGGCAGAACAUCAGAAGCCAGCAUGAUUACUGCAACCUAUGUCGAUACCCGAAUGGAAGUGGGACAAGCUUGGCAUGGAUUUCAUCACCGGAUUGCCCAGGACCCGAUCGGGAUAUGAUUCUAUCUGGGUAGUAGUGGAUUGUUUGACCAAAGUGGCUCACUUUAUCCCAGUGAAGAGCACCUAUACAAGUGCAAAGUUGGCCAAGAUAUAUAUGACCAGGAUCGUAUGUCUGCAUGGAGUUCCGAGGACCAUCGUAUCUGAUAGAGGGAUCCAGUUUACUUCAAAGUUUUGGCACCAGCUGCACCAGACUUUGGGGACCAGGCUAGAGUUUAGUACAGCCUUUCAUCCGCAGACAGAUGGACAGACCGAGAGAGUCAAUCAGAUUCUGGAGGACAUGUUGAGAGCUUGUGCGCUAGAUUAUGGAUCUAGUUGGGAUGAUAAUUUGCCCUACGCGGAGUUCUCAUACAACAACAGCUAUCAGGCUAGUUUGAAGAUGGCACCUUUCAAAGCUUUGUAUGGAAGAAGAUGCAGAACACAGUUGAUGUGGGAUGAAGUUGGAGACCGUCAGUUGUUUGGACCAGAUUUGAUCAAAGAGUCCGAAGAGAAGGUUAAGCUGAUUCGAGAUAGACUGAAGAUAGCUCAGUCCAGGCAGAAGAGUUAUGAGACUCGAAACGCAAGGAGGUAGUCUAUGAAAUCGGAGACAGAGCCUAUCUUCGUGUGUCACCUCUGCGAGGAGUUAAACGUUUUGGAGUCAAGGGAAAGUUAGCCCCAAGAUUUGUAGGACCAUAUCGAGUCUUGGAGCGUACGGGAGAGGUGGCCUACAAGUUGGAGUUACCCGAAGGAAAGUCAGGAGUUCAUGAUGUGUUUCACGUUUCCCAGUUGAAGAAGUGUCAUGCUAAGAUGGCCGAUAUCCCUCUGAGAGAUACAGUGCCCCUGGAAGCAAUUCAGUUGGUUAGUGAUUUGACCUAUGAAGAGAAACCUGUCAAGAUUCUCAAGUUUGCCAGCCGAGUUACACGCAACAAGGUUAUCAAGUUUUGCAAAGUUCAGUGGAGCCACCAUACCGAGGAUGAAGCCACCUGGGAAUGAGAGGAAGAUCUAUGGAAAGACCACCCACACCUAUUUUCUAGCGAACCCGAAUCUCGAGGACGAGAUUCAUCUUAAGGGGGGUAGGUUUGUAACAUCCCAAAUUUUCAAUUUGGAAUGUUAUACAUGGGACAUCAUAUGCAUAUCAUAUUUUAUUUGCAUUUUGGCGUGAUCCUAAAAAUCCUAAGCAACUCAAGGACCCACGGAGAGAGUUGGGGAUUUUAUUAUUUUCAUAUUUGAAUUUUCUCAAAUAUUAAAAAGGGGAUCAUUUUGGUUUUAAUUAUUUUUCCCUCCAAAAAUAUUUCAAAUUAAAAUAUAUGAGAGGAGAUAAUAUGACUUCUCCAAAAUAAAUGAAAUAUUGGAGGAAAAAGGUUAAAAUCAAAUAAAUAAUUUUAUUUGGGUUUUAUUGCUAUUUUAUUUGAAUUAGAAAAACUAUGCAUUUUUUAAAAAUUGCAUUUUAGGCCAGGAAAAUAUUCACUUUGUUCUAAAUAUUUUAUUUAGACGGUGAUUUUUUUUUGGCAUUUUUAGAUUUUUAUUUUUAUUUAUUUAGGAUUUUCUUGGUGGAAUUUUUUUUUUAAAAAAAUUCUUCUGGACCGAACUGGGCCGAGGCCCAGCCGGCCCCGCUGCGCGCCUCCCGCUCCGACUCGGGAGAGGACUCCCGAGCGCCACCGCCGCCGCCAUGGACGUGUCCGUGCCGGACACGCCACCGCCGCCGCCAUGGACGUGUCCGUGCCGGACACGCCGCCGUCGCCUCCUUCCCCAAGCGCCCAGCGCCCCCCGGCCUUUCAAUACUCGCCGCAGCCGCCCCUCGCCACCACCCCGAGCCGUGCUACCAGCCCCGCAUCCUGCGCCGCACGCCGCACGCCGCCGCAGCCGCCCAGCGCCGCCGCCGCCGUUGCCGCUAGCCGCCGCUGCUGCCGCCUAGCUUCGCCGCCUCCGCAUCCCGCUGCCGCGCCGCCGUCGCCUAGCCCCGCCGGAGCCGCCGCCUCACGCUGCCCCGUCGCCGUUUUUUCGGUUUAGGUAAACCAAUCGGAUUUUUUAGAAAACCCUAGAUGCGUUUUUUCCUCUAGACCGAUUCAGUUUUUCUUCGGCUUAGUUAUUUAGUAAACGUUCAUUUUUUCGUUCGUUUUAACGAACGAAUUCGUUCUUUAGCCUCUCUUAGUGGACGUUCGUCCGAUAGUUUUUUCUUUUUCUGUUUAUUUUCGGCCAGGGACCUAUCCGCGUUUAUUUUUAUCGCAGAUUAGCCCCUUAUCUUCAAACACUCGCCGUUUCUUAACCGUUUGUCCAAGUCAAGUGAAACCAACGUCAAAAUCUUCAUCUCGAGCCCCUCCUUCUGUUUAAUCAACUUGAACAAGGUUUUGACAAUUUAAAAUUUGGUUUCAAGCAGAUUUGAAUUUGAGGUUCUUUUGACCGUAGUUUCAGUUCCGUAGCUCCGAUUCGAUUGUUUCUUUUUGCGAAUCAAAGCUCUUCAGUUGAACUUUCAUAUUUGAUCUUCUUAUUUGAGUUUUACCUGUGCAUCUUUGCUUGAGUGCUUAUGUAUGCUAUUGUUUGUUUGCGAUAGAAUUCCCGGAGUGCGAAGUGUGCUACUGCGAGUCUCUAGGGUUUGCGGAUCGUCAACAAGGCAAGUAACACAUUGAUCAUACUCUUUUCAUACCCAGUUUUUAUGCAUUAGUUACAACCCUCAAACAUUGAAUGAGUAGGAUCUCUUAACAUGUGGGUUUUGGGAAGUAGAUGAUGAGGUAGAACCUAUUGCCCAUUAUUAUCAAACCCAUGGGAGGUACUUCUACGCUAUGCUUAUAUUGCCAUGCUAUGCUCGUAGACGUGGAUUGGGUUUGAGUGUAUCCAUGAUAGAGUGAGAUUGUUAAUUAAUGGUUAACUUAAGGUGGCUACUUAAAUACACAUCUAGGUGGAUUGGUUGCGGGCACCUGGAGAAUCCAGUGUUGUCCUAGGAUAUCCCGGAGUACCCGUGUGAUCAUCCUAUGGUUCGCCACCCAGGCUCAAAGGGAUCAUAAGAUUAUUCAUGCUAGAAACUUCCAUGUGCAGCCACAAGCUAUUAUGGGCUCUAGCAUAGUCGACUAUGUUGCAUGACCUCUUCCAGUGGUAGGCUAGCAGAUGUAGGGGAUGUAGGUUGGUACUGUCUACCCAGGGUUAGAGCUAAUGCUUCUGAAAGACUGUGUCUCGGUCAUCCGUUUCUCAAACACCAUGUAGUGCGAGAAAUCCAGCGGAGGAGAUCGAGUCUUGUGGGGAAAAGUGCGCAAACCUCUGCAGAGUGUACAAACUAAUCAUGGUUAGCUGUGUCCCCGGUUAUGGACAUCUUGAGUAUCUGGUUCUUGGAUUGUCAUGUUGAUCUCAUCACUCUAAAUUAAUUUGUUGGGUUAUUAAUUACUUGCUUAAAUGGGAUUGACUUGGAGGAACCUUCUCAAUGUUUAACAACUACCAUGAUAGUUAAACAAAAUAUAUUCCUUUGUUGUAGGAAAAAAUUGGCUUUUCGCAAAACAUUAUAACCAUAGAGCCUCCACCAGCCAUAUAUGAAUGUAGUGAUAGCAUUUUACCUGUUCAUUGCUCUACUAUGUUAUCUUGCCAGCAUAUUCCAUGUGUUGACCCAUUUCGGGCUGCAACAUGUCAUGUUGCAGACUUUUCAAACGAAGAGUAAGGUGCGCUAGGUUGUUGUCGUGCACUCAGCUAUGCCGUUGGAGUUGAUGGACUCACUUUAUCUUCCAAGCCUUCCGCUGUUAUCUUAUUUAGAUGGCCUUAAGCCAUAUUUAUUGUAAUAAGUUCUCUCUUGAGACUAUCGAUGUAAUAAGUGUGUGAUUGCUACUCUGUUAUAAAUCCUUCGAGUACUGUGUGUGUCAGCAUUACCGAUCUAGGGAUGACACUUAUACACAGAGAUUUGACCGUCUGAGGUCGGAUCGCUACAACCCUGCACCUUCAUCUACUCCUGAUGGGAAUGAGUAGAUGCUCUAUGUCUUCAAACCUUUUUGGUCCUUACUGACAAAAGGGGGAGAAGCAUAUGAGUUGAUAGUCUUCAGGCGGGUCCAUAUGGGUGGUUGCUAUAUCUUUUUGCCAAGUGAUUACAACUCUUGUUUUUGAUACAUUUGGUUCUUUGGGUUGUAACACUUAAACUUGAUGGUCAUCUGCUACUUUAUCUACUAUUCUGUGAUGCGAUGAUAAAUUCCGCAUGAAGUCAUUCCGCAGACGUCCAUUUUUCAUUAUGCAUGUCAUUAUCUUCGUCUUAUCUCUAUAUGCAUGAUGAAUUGUCUUCAAAAGUUGAAGAGGAUCUCCACAAAACAAAACCUGCCAUGUGCAUUUGCAUUCAAAAGCAAACUACUUAUAUGCACAUCUUCAGGGGGAGCCUUUUGCUACUUAUGAAGACAAUGCCUUAACCCUUACAAUUUCACAUACUUUUAUCCUCAUUGAAAACAUCAACCAGUUUGUCAUCAAUCACCAAAAAGGGGGAGAUUGUAAGUGCAUCUAGUGCCCCCCUAGUUGGUUUUGGAGUAUUGACGACAAACUUGGUUGAGGGACUAAUGUGUUUGUGAGAAUUGCAGGAUAACACAGGUAGUAGUCCCUCAUUGAUUCGGUUUACCUACCGGAGAUGACCCCUAAAAAUGUGUGAAGACAUUGAAGACAAUGGUGGUAUGUGAAGAUAUUCACAACGAAGAUUAUGACUCGAGAAGACAUUCACGUGAAGACUAUGGAGUGCGAAGACAUAGUUGUUUCGUAGUUUCCUUUUCUUCUUUGUUGAGUCGUAGGAACCACCGCACUGUUAAGUGGGGUCCAAGUGAACAAAGUCAGAGUGACUGAAGUGAUGCUCAACCAAAUCCUAUGUUUUCGAGCGAAGACAAUGAGAGCAAAUCUUAUCCAGAGCUGGAUGAGUCAGCUUUACUUGUAGCCCAAGUCAAUCUGCCGUGUGUGUGUGAAAUCUGACCGUUGGACACGUGUCAGUUCCUUAGUGACCCAGGGUCAUUUCGGAAAAAUCGGUUCGGGUUGUUUCCUGGCUAUAAAUAGCCCACCCCCUACACCAUAAAUUGGUGGCUGCUCAGAGUUAGUGCACGACUUUUGUCGUUUGAGAGCAACCCACCUCCGAAGCAUUUGAGAGAGAGAUCCUUGCGAGGACAAAGCCCAAAACACCCAGAGCCAAAGAGUGUUAGGCAUCACUGAAGUCUUUCUGUCCGCGUGACCUGAAGACUUGUUACACUUGAGGACUGUGAAUCCUCCAGCCGGUUAGGCAUCGCGUUCUGGGCAUCCAAGAGUCAUUGUCGAUUGCUGGUGAACGAAGUCUGUGAAGGUUUGGAAGUCUACCUUGAAUACUUACCAGAGUGAUUGGGAGAGGACUAAGUGUCCUUAGCUCAAGGGGAAUAAGGUGAAGACACGGUCUUCUGAGUUAAAUCUCAGCCUCCCUAAUCAGACGUACAGUUGUCACAGCAACUGGAACUGGUCCAACAAAUCCCUGUCCUCGCCGAGCAACUGGUUCUAUCUCUUCCCUCUUUUACUUACAGUUUGUCUUCGUGAAGUCAUUGCCUGCUUGCUUGAUCUGUUUGACUUCACUGUGUGACGACUAUUGUUGCUUGGCUUCAUACUAUCUUCCAUCCUGAUCUAUACUACAUAGUUGCUAAUAGUCUUCGUGCUUUCACUUCAUUACUUACUUGACUAUGGCUUGUCUAGUGUAGUCUACCUUCCGCUGCAUAUCAAUAGGUUCAUUUCUAUCGUUCGUCUUCAAAUCCCCCGUGUUUUGAAGACUUUCAUAAAAAUCGCCUAUUCACCCCCCUUAUAGUCGAUAACUAGCACUUUCAGUCAUAACUUUGCGCUUUUCUAUCAAUUGCACGACAGUAAUUUGUUUACCCACCAUAUGUUUUCCUUCAAGAGAGAAGCCUCUAGUGAAACCUAUGGCCUCCGGGUCUAUUUUUCAUCAUAUAUUUUCAUAUCUAUACACAAAAAACCCAAAAAUACCUUGCUGCAAUUUAUUUGUUUUUUUACUUUGUUUUACGUUUUAGUAAUCUUUUAUAUCUAUCUCUAUCAAAUCUCACCUUUGCAAUUGACCGCGAAGGGAUUGACAACCCCUUUAUCGCGUUGGGUACAAGUGUUUGAUUGUUUGUGCAGGUGCAUAGAUUGGAGACUUGCCUGUACCUCCUACUGGAUUGAUACCUUGGUUCUUAAGCUGAGGGAAAUAGUUAUCUCUACUUUACGACAUCACCCUUUCCUCUUCAAGGGAAAAACCAACGCAAGCUCAAGAAGUAGCACAUCUAGAAAUCUUUUAGAGUCCACCGUGGGAGGUACUUUUAUGGAAAUUACAUUAGGAUAUCUACUAAACUCCUAGAUAAUAUUAUGGCAAAUUACUGCCAAUGGCAUACUGAAAGAUCUUCAACUAGUAAAACAGCACAUACGAUUGAAGAAAUUAAUACUUUGGGUGGAAAGAUGGAUCAACUUAUGAAAUUGUAUGCUAGUAAGAGUGCUCCUAUUGAUCCCAAUGAUAUGCCUUUGUCCACUUUGAUUGAGAAUAAUAAUGAAUCUAUGGAUGUGAAUUUUGUUGGUAGGAACAAUUUUGGUAAUAACGCAUCUAGAGGUAAUUUCAACCCUAGGUCGUUUCCUAGUAAUUCCUCUAAUAAUUGUGGUAAUUCCUACAACAACUCUUAUGGAAAUUAUAAUAAAAUACCCUCUGAUAUUGAUAAUAAUAUUAUAGACUUCAUUAAUUCUCAAAAUACUUUCAAUGCUAUGGUAGAAGAAAAAUUGCUUAAGAUUGAUGAUUUGGCUAGGAACGUUGAUAGAAUUUCUCUUGAGAUUGAUUCUUUGAAGAUUAGAUCUGAGCCACCUAAUAUUGAUAUGAAUUAUUCUCAAAAAUCUAUUAAAAUUUCUAUGGAUGAAUGUAAAGAAAGAACCGCUAGGAUGCAUGCUAAGAGAGAUUGGUUUGUAAAAGCGUGUUCUUCUAGUUUUUGUGAAAAUAAUGAUGAAGAUCUUAAAGUGAUUGGUGUGACUCCUAUUGAAUGUUUAUUUGCUAAUAUAAAUCUUGAUAAAUAUGGGACUGGAGAUGAGUCAACUUUAUCUAGAAGGCGUCUAAUAUGGAGUUUAAAGACCUUAAUGAAAAAAUUGAUAAAAGUGGGAUUGGAGAGGUCAAGACUUUAAGUAGCGAUGAACCCAAUCUUUUGGAUUUCAAGGACUUUAAUUGUGAUAAUUUUUAUAGAUUGUAUUUCCUUGUUGCAACCCAUGCUUAAUUCACCUCAUGCUUAUAAUCAAAAUAAAUCUUUUACUAAACAUAUCGUUGAUGCUAAGUUGAAAUCUUUGAAGAAAAACUUGAGUUGGAAGUUUCUAUCCCUAGAAAGCUUUAUGAUGAGUGGGAACCUACUAUUAAGAUUAAAGUUAAAGAUUAUGAGUGCAAUUCUUUGUGUGAUUUGGGUGCUAGCGUUUCCACUAUUCCGGAAACUUUAUGUGAUGCGCUAGGUUUCCAUAAAUUUGAUGAUUAUUCUUUGAAUUUGCAUCUACGGGAUUCCACUAUUAAGAAACCUAUGGGAAGGAUUAAUGAUGUUCUUAUUGUUGCAUAUAGGAAUUAUUUGCCCGUAGAUUUUAUUGUGCUUGAUAUAGAUUGCAAUCCUACAUGUCCUAUUAUUCUUGGAAGACCUUUCCUUAGAACGAUUGGUGCAAUUAUUGAUAUGAAAGAAGGAAACAUUAGGUUUCAAUUUCCGUUAAGGAAGGACAUGGAACACUUUCCAAGAAAGAAAAUUAAUUUGCCAUAUGAAUCUAUUAUGAGGGCUACUUAUGGAUUUCAUACCAAAGAUGACAAUACCUAAAUCUAUGUUUUAUGCCUAGCUAGGGGCGUUAAACAAUAACGCUUGUUGGGAGGCAACCCAAAUUUUAUUUUUAUGUUUUUAUUUUUGGUUCUGUUUUUAAAUCAAUGCACAUUAUUACCUUUGUUGUAAUUGUGUUUUGGUGUUCUAAUUAGUGUUUGAGCCAAGUAAGACCUUUGGGAUGGUCUAUGGUGAUAGUUGAUUUGAUCUUGCUGAAAAACAAAAACUUUUGCGCUCAAUGCCAGAAUUUUAGAAAAUCAUAGAAACAUGCUUUUAAUCUGAAUUUUCUUACACAAGAUUGAUAUACACAUUGCCCAUGUUUCCCUAAUUUUUCAGAAUUUUUGGAGUUACAGAAAUAUACGAAAUUUCCAGAUUACUACACACUGUUCUAUUUUUGACAGAUUCUAUUUUCUAUAUGUUGUUUGCUUAUUUUGAUGAAUAUAUGGAUAGUAUCGGGGGGGUAUGAACCAUGGAGAAGUUAGCAUACAGUAUAUAUAACACCAAUAUAAAUUUAGAAUGAGUUCACAACAGUACCUAAAGUGGUGAUUUAUCUUAUUAUACUAAUGGAUCUUACAAGUUUCCUGUUGAGUUUUGUGUUGUGAAGUUUUCAAGUUUUGGGUAAAGAUUUGAUGGACUAUGGAAUAAGGAGUAGCAAGGUCCUAAGCUUGGGGAUCCCUAGGCACCCCAAGGUAAUAUUCAAGGACAACCAAGCAUCUAAUCUUGGGGAUGCCCCGGAUGGCAUCCCCUCUUUUGUCUUCAAUCCAUUGGUAAAUUUACUUGAGGCUAUAUUUUUAUUCACCGCAUGAUAUGUGUUUUGCUUGGAGCGUCUUGUAUGAUAUGUGUCUUUGCUUUUUAGUUUGCCACAAUCAUCCUUGUUGUACGCACAUUUUGAGAGGGACACACAUUAAUCAUGAAUUUAUUAGAAUACUCUAUGCACUUCACUUAUAUCUUUUGAUCUAGGCAGUUUGCUCUAGUGCUUCACUUAUAUCUUUUUUUAGCACGGCGGUGGCAUUAUUUUAUAGAAAUUGUUGAACUCUCAUGCUUCACUUAUUAUUUUGAGAGUAUUAAACAGCAUGGUAAUUUGGUUAGGUUAUGAAUUUAUUCCUAAUAUGAUGGGCAUCCAAGAGGGAUAUAAUAAAAACUUUCAUAUAAAGAGCACUGAAUACACGAGAAGUUUGAUUCCUUGCAUUUGUUUUGAGAUAUAAAGAUGGUGAUAUUAGAGCCCAGUGCCUAUUUCCAUAAGAUGUUUUAUGCAUUAAUAUGCUAUUUUGAGAUAUAAAGAUGGUCAUAUAAAGGUCAUAUUUCCAUCAGAUGUUUUAUGCAUUAAUAUGCUAUUUGAUAUUAUUUUUGGGACUAACGUAUUAACUUAGAGCCCAGUGCCAGUUUCUAUUUUUCCUUGUUUUUGACUUCUACAGAAUAGGAAUAUCAAACGGAGUCCAAACGGAAUAAAACUUUUGGAUGAUUUUUCUUGGACCAGAAGACACCCAGAAGACUUGGGGAGAGGGCCAGAAGAGUCCCGAGGAGGCGACAAGCCUCUAGGACGCGCCCCUGGCUUGUGGGCCCCUCAAGGGUCCUCUAACCCUAAUUCCACCUCUAUAUAUUCUCAAAUAUUCCCCGAACAUCAGAAGCAUCCACAAAAAUGCUUUUCCGCCGCCGCAAGCUUCUGUUCCCAUGAGAUCCCACCUUGGGGCCUUUUCCGGUGGUCUGCUGGAGGGGGAUUCGAUCACGGAGGGCCUCUAAAUCAACCUUGCCGCCCUUCUGAUGAUGCGUGAGUAGUUUACCACAGACCUACGGGUACAUAGCUAUUAGCUAGAUGGCUUCUUCUCUCUCUUUGUUCUUCAAUACAAUGUUCUCCUCGAUGUUCCUAGAGAUCUAUUCUAUGUAAUCUUCUUUUGUGGUGCGUUUGUUGAGAUCCGAUGAAUUGUGUAUUUAUGAUUAUAUUAUCCAUGGAUAUUAUUUGAGUCUUCUCUGAACUAUUUUAUGCAUGAUUAAGACAUAUUUGUAUUUCUCUUCGAACUAUCGGUUUGGUUUGGCCAACUAGAUUGGUUUUUCUUGCAAUGGGAGAGGUGCUUAGUUUUGGGUUCAAUCUUGUGGUGUCCUCACCCAGUGACAGAAGGGGUAGCAAGGAACGUAUUGUAUUGUUGUCAUCAAGGAUAAAAAGAUGGGGCUUAUAUCAUAUUGCUUGAGUUUAUCCCUCUACAUCAUGUCAUCUUGCUUAAGGCGUUACCCCGUUCUUAUGAACUUAAUACUCUAGAUGCAUGUUGGAUGGCACUCGAUGUGUGGAGUAAUAGUAGUAGAUGUAGGCAGGAGUCGGUCUACUUGUCACGGACGUGAUGCCUAUAUUCAUGAUCAUUUCCUUAGAUAUCGUCAUAAUUAUGCGCUUUUCUAUCAAUUUCUCAACAGUAAUUUGUUUACCCACCAUAUGUUAUCUUCAAGAGAGAAGCCUCUAGUGAAACCUAUGGCCCCCGGGUCUAUUUUCCAUCAUAUAUUUUCAGAUCUAUAAACCAAAAAACCCAAAAAUACUUUGCUGCAAUUUAUUUAUAUUAUUUUAGUUUGCUCUUUCAUUUAUCUUUUAUACCUAUCUAUAUUAGAUCUCACUCUUGUUCGUGACCAUGAAGGGAUUGACAACCCCUUUUUCGUGUUGUGUGCAAGUGUUUGUUAGUUUGUGUAGGUGCACAUAUUGGAGACUUGCUUGUGCCUCCUACUGGAUUGAUACCUUGGUUCUUAACUGAGGGAAAUACUUAUCUCUACUUUACUGCAUCACCCUUUUCUCUUCAAGGAAAAAAUCAACGCAAGCUCAAGAAGUAGCACCCCGCUAGGGGUGCUCUCACCGUGUCGACUCUCGGCCAGGUGGGCCGGGCUGAGGACCCCCUUGUCAGUUCCACCCUGGGCCACUUUGGGCGGCACAUAACAAUCUGCAAGAAAAACCAGAAGCCUUGCCAUUCAAGAGAAUGACUCAUUAUCUUUGGAGGACUCCUCUCCACCGACAUAGCCAAGUAGGACUCAUGUUAUCCUACGACUACGUUAACUUAUAUAAACCGGGGCUGGCCUAGUCAAUAAAUUAUCUCAUGGGAUCAUUAGAUCUAGACACACAACGAUUUCGUGGUAGAUCAUAUGUACUCUGUACUCCAUACCAAAUCAAUAAAACAUAAACAAGAUGUAGGGUAUUAUCUCUUCUAGAGAUCCCGAACCUGGGUAAAACUUUGUGUCCAUGUUACCAUCGCAUCUAGGCUUCUAGCUCGGGCCUGCUACCCGAGAUUCUCCGGAAUCGACUCCAUCACUUACAAUCCUCAUGACCCAACUUGUAUCGCUAUGAACGUUUGCAUUGAUCAAUAAAGGUUUUGGCAACCCCUAAAAAAUCAAAAGUUCCAUUAGCGUGAUAUUUUUUGUUUCCGUCCGCAGCGUCAGAGUUUGUGCCUCUGCAGGUUAGGUGUGUCCGACUUGUGGAAUUUAGAUUUAUGUCAUCGCAGAUUUGCUCAUAUGGAUUUGAUGAGUUUUGUUAGUAUUUUCUGGGGUUGGUGGUGCGGCCCAUUAUGAUUUCGGAGUCAAGUUUUUGGUCUCCUAUUUAAGAUACAACGUUCAUGACCGGUCGGCUGGGCUGGCUCUCGAGCCGGUGUCGUGCGCCGUCUGAUCUGGCGAGAUCAGAUGCUAAAGAGGAAGCUACAUAAUGCGCACACCACUCUAUCCCCUCUUGGCUCUUUCAUCGAACAACCUUGGACACUUAUUUUCCCGAGCAUUGACCCAACCCAUCCUGUCUAUCUCUCCCGCUAUUCUCCGCCAUGUUCGAACCCGAGUUCCGGUGCCUCCUCCUCUUAUCUCUCUCUCUCUCUCUCUCUCUCUCUGAUGGCCCCACGCUUUGGUGUUCCACCGACAACCUCAUCUCCACAGCUCUCUCCCCCAGCGCACCUUCCCUUCCUCCCAGCAACCUCCGCCAUGGCUCUGCUUCGAGUUGCUGCAAGGCCUACUGGGCACAUGGGACACAGGAAAUGGCGCGGUGCUGCAAGGGUUGCGUGGCACGGUGGCGAGCUGUUAUGACGCCUCGUGCAGCUGCAUCCGACAAGACAAGUAGCUACAAAACGAUGCCAUGAUGCUGGAAUUGCCAUAGACAAAUGUUUGAACCACGAUUGAUGGUUGUUGCGAUCGUCGGGCCGACAUGCUGGAACCAUGGGUUGGGAUGCUACAACUGAGAAGACCAUGUGCUGGAAUCGGCGCGCAUGGUGCAUCGACAACGUUGUGAGGUUUUUCUGGAACGAUGGUGACAAGGUGCUGGAACCAGUAGAUGAGGAUGUUGGACCUCACCUUGGUAUGUUGCGACCGGUAGUUGAGGAUGCUGGGACCAGCCCCGAAGAUGUUGCGACUCUGCUACACCUGGCGUCCAGUUAUGCUACAACCGACGUCGUGUACCCUCCUACCACCGACAUUGCAUUUUUCUACACUUGGUGUCACACCCUGCACAACUGGCACCGCAUUUUUGCUACAACCCACAUCACACCCUGCUAUAAUCGAUGUCAAGUUUUGCUACACCCGUUGCCAUGUUUUGCUUGGGAUGUUGCAAUGAAGGCGAGGGGGGAGGUCAGCUGAGAAGACGAUGGUGCAAGGCGGGAGCAAUAUGCAUGUGAUAGUGGCAAGGACAGAUGAGCUACUGAAAAAGUCACGACGACGGGUGCUACAAGCCUGUGGCGGCGAUGCUACGAAUCUGGUUGGGGUACAAGCUGGGAAUAUAUGGUUGGGUGCUACAAGCCCGUGGCGGCGAUGCUACGAACGUGGUUGGGGUACAUGCUGGGAAUAUAUGGAGUCGAGCGACCGGUAGGGCAAUGUUGCGCCAGCGCCGACGAGCACCGCGGGAAAUAUGCAUGCGGGGGAGAUGGGGGCAGGCGCGUGGGGAUAAGGUGCUUUCAUGACCGGUCGCGAUGCUCGUUGUUGCUUUCGUUUUGUGCAUGUUGACACAUUUGAUUGGGGGAUCUCGCGAGGAGGACAAACUAGGAGGUUAGAUCUAAUAGCUAGGAACUGACAAACCGGGCAGUGUGUAUGUCACCGGCCGGGAGCCUACACCGGUCGACCGAUGCAGAGCAUUAUUGUCGCUGUUUUGUCACGACAGAUGUCCUAGAGAAAGGACUUAGUCGUGGAGCCAUCGCGACGGGUUAGCUUGAAGGGGUUAAAGCAGACAAGGGACGCAGAGAGUUUAUACUGGUUCGGCCCCUUGCGGUGAAGGUAAAAGCCUACGAUCCAGUUGCUGUGGAAUUGCUAGUGUUUCGAUGACCAGGGAGCGAAUCCGCUAUGCCUGGUUCUCGAGUUGUUGUUUGUUGUCCCCAAACCGCCGCCGGGUCGUCCCCUUAUAUACAUGGGUUGACGCCCGCCGGUUUACAGGAUUCCGAGGCCGGCUCAUAAACAUGUCCGGCCGGGUCUCUACUAUUUCUGCCUUACAACACAAGCUUACAUAUCAAUGUUUGUUUAUGACUACAGGCCUUAAUCCGCCUUUGGGCCCUGGGCCUUCAUAAAGCGCCAUCAUCUUUGUCUUCAUGGGCUUCAAAUAUAAUAACUCAUUAUGGGGAUAACAUGGCCUCUCCUGGCCGGUUUACGCCCAGUAGUAAUAUCCCCAACAUUAGGCCCCAGAUUGAUUUGAACUGGUUCAUGUCAAUCUUCAAUACGUAAGAAAAUUUCUUCUUCAGCACCUUCGUAUAAAUCUUGUAAACCGCCAUGACGUCAUCUUCCAGGAUCAUGAUAAACCGCCAUGACAUCAUCUAUUAUUAAAAAUUGCAUAUAGCUCACCUUCAUUAACGAGCCUCCGACAAUCGAGGCGACAGCUCCGCCACAUAUCCAACUUUUGGGCUCCUCGAUUUUCGCGCCUGUCACUUAUCCCUUUUCCUUUAUAAANNNNNNNNNNNNNNNNNNNNNNNNNNNNNNNNNNNNNNNNNNNNNNNNNNNNNNNNNNNNNNNNNNNNNNNNNNNNNNNNNNNNNNNNNNNNNNNNNNNNNNNNNNNNNNNNNNNNNNNNNNNNNNNNNNNNNNNNNNNNNNNNNNNNNNNNNNNNNNNNNNNNNNNNNNNNNNNNNNNNNNNNNNNNNNNNNNNNNNNNNNNNNNNNNNNNNNNNNNNNNNNNNNNNNNNNNNNNNNNNNNNNNNNNNNNNNNNNNNNNNNNNNNNNNNNNNNNCUCCUCCGCUGCUCUGUCAACGUUAGUAAGUUUUCCUUUCCCUUGCUUUAGAUCUAUCAUUAGGGUUUCGGUGUUCCUCGAGGUUUGAAACUGUUCUUCCCCGUUCUUCUUCAUAGUGUACAUGAUGACUUCAGAUCUGCUACUUUCUUACACAGUUGUAGUUACAAUCCCCUUUUCCAUCCUUAGAUCAUCUGCCUCGUGUAGAAAAACUCAUCUGGAUCUGUUAAACUUGCUUAAGCACCUGCGCUUUAAGUCUGAAUAUAAUUUGAUUUACCAACGCACUGCAGAUAUGAAAUUACCAUGCCAAGCUGUGAAACUUGUUUUUCCUUCACUUAGGCAUCUUAGAUCUGUAUCUUCUAUACCAGAGUAGGUGGUUUAAUCUCAUAGAAAAAUGAUGAUCCGGUAGGUACCAUUAGUCCCCUGUUGAACCGCCAAGCCGCUUUAUCUUUGUACCAUAUCCCAUGUCUGAUUCCGGUUUAACAAUGUGUAUAUACUUCUGUCUUCUUCUGCUCUUGCAUCGCUUUAUAUUUAUCCAUUAUAAAUCUUAAACCAGCAAUAACCAUGUUUCAGCUUUCCAUUGAAAUGGCCAAACAAGUCUAUGAGUGCAACUGGGUUCCUUCCCGGGUCAUUGAAGAACAAUUAGACAGAUGUGUCGUAACUGGCGCUUUAGCCAAGAAAGAGGUCAUCCACUGGAGGGCCCCUGGUCCGGAAAAUCCUCCUGAACCCAAGGACGGAGAAGUAGUCAUUUUCGUUGAUCAUCUGGGUCGAGGUUUUAGUCCUCCCGGUUCAAAAAAUUUCCGAGAUGUGCUUGCCAGCUUUCAACUCCACCCUCAGGAUAUUGGCCCAAACUCUGUGUACAACAUCUGCCAUUUCCAAGUCUUUUGUGAGGCUUAUCUUCAAGAGGAGCCCACAGUUGAAUUGUUUAGGGAUUUCUUCUAUUUAAACCGUCACACCGAGUUCACAGAUGGACCAAAUACUGAGCUCGGCGGAAUGGCGAUUCAAAAGAGGAAGGAUGUCAGCUUCCCUCACGCCAAGCUUCACAGUCACCCCAAGGAGUGGAACCAGACUUGGUUUUAUUGCAAAGACACAUCUCCAACUGAUGAAAAUCCUUUGCCGGGUUACCGCCCUCACCGUCUUAGCAAUACACAUCCCUUUCCUCAAAGAUUAACUGCAAAGGAAAGGUCCAACUAUGAUCCACAACUGUCAAAGCUUAGAGCCUUUAUGGCAAACGGUUUAACAGGUGUUGACUUUGCUCGUUGUUGGAUAACCUGGAGCAUAUUGCCCUUAAGCCGACGCCCCGGUUUAAUGUGUGAAUACACUGGGAGUUUGAAGGACCCUCAACGACACAUUGAUAUUCAGCUUACAGAUGUUGAAGUUACUAAGGCUGUGAAGAAGAUACAGAAUGAACCGGAGGUUGUCUGUAGCCAGACCGGAUUAAGUCCUUUCUGUGUUUCCAACAAACCGCCAACUGUAAGGAUCACAUAACUUUUUUGCUCUAACUUGCUUCUUUCAAAUAUUCUCUCAAAAUUUUGUCCAUCUUUGACAGGGCGAUGAUCCGUUCUGAAAAAAAAACACAGGAUAAACUGGCAAAACCAACUCGCCCAAAGACCAAAGUUACCAAAAAUCUGCCAAGAAGAAAACCACUGCGUCUUCCGAGCCAAAUGCUGAUGCUGACUUGGCUAAUCCGGACUCAGAGGUACAACUUGACUCUCUUGGUUCAUUUUUCAUACACCUCAUUGACAAUGACUAUUAUCAGGACGACGCUGGAGGCAGCCAAGCUGAUGAUGUAGAGGUAAUUAUCCUUUCCUCCGGUUCAGAUCCUCUGCCAACACCGAAAAUCCGUCGAGCAAACCGGAAAGUAAAAUUUUCUCACCCCCUUGCUCACAUGGACCCAAACUUCCUUUUGAAGAUGCAGCAACACGAAGCUCGCCGCACAACCCGGCACAGCGGCCAAGUAGUCACCUCAGCUGGUUUACCGAAUACUCCAGUCCGGAAACGUCAAUCAGAGGUCUCUUACAUUCCUGACACUUCUUGUCCCAAGGCGGGUUGUUUCCGUCAGCCUCUUAAUCCGUCUGAUUCAAAUUAUCAGGGCAUGGCCCACUCAUCCUCUGGCGAGUCAUCGGCCACACAGCUUCCACCCCUCAAGACAGUUCCUGGGUGAGUCAUACCUUUAAAUUUAUUUUCAAUGCCUUAUGUUUUACACAAUGUAUCGACCUUUAUAUUUGUUCUUCUCAGUGCCAAGCCAAGACCCAGCAAGAAGGCUCGGUUAAACAAACCGUCAGACGAAAAUGUGGUUAUUGAACCGGAGAAAACCCCAGAUCCAGUAGAGACCAAUGCUGACGCUCUGCUAGAUGAUCCGCCACCACAAGAUUAUGACUUCGUUGUUGAACGAGUAGAAGUUGACACCACAGGUCACACUGACAAACCGACUAGUCCAGUUCGCACGGAUGAUAAACCGGCCAGUCUAGCUAAAGCUGCUGAUAAACCGUCCACUCCAGUGAAGGCUGCUGAUGAUAAAGAAGAUGACAUUAUGAUUACUGGCGUCAGCCACACCGCUCCUGGCAACCCGGUCGCUUUAUCCAAGCAUAGCGCCAAGGAUGAGCUUUCUGCUAUGGGCAAAGGUAAAUGGAACACCGAUUUGUCCAGCUACGCCCAUCUCAACGCCCAAGACAUUCACUCUGGCUUCUUGAACCGUCUGUACACCAGCCGCGACUAUGAAGCCGGUUUAGUAAAUCUGAUGAAGGAGCGAUAUGACGUAACCACACAAUUGUUUCCCUUAUGUCCAAUUUCAAAUGUCAACUCUAGUAGCCCCCAAGGGCCGGUUUAUGAUGUUAAUCUAAACCGGGACUUUGUAAUAUCUUAAAUUUGCAUGUUUAGCCUCCAGGGACUGGGUUAUCUCUUUAAGAUGAACCGGUACUUUAGAAUUGUAAUAUUGUAUCUUUCGCUGGUGUAGUCCCCAAGGGCCAGUUUAACUUAUGAAGAUGAACCGGGACUUUAGACGAAUACCCAUAACGUUACUUUGAGCAAACAUACAUUAGCCCCCAAGUGCCAAGAGUAAUACUUGUAUUGUGCUUCGGACUUGUAGAAAUUUCCGAGAACAAGCAAAUAUGCAUUAGCCCCCAAGUAUCAGGUGCAUAACUUGUUAUGUGCUUGGUACUUCAAAUAUGUAUCAUCAACUCAUGAUAUGUCUGUCUCUUAUAGGCUGAGCUGAGCAAAAAGGAAACUCAAACCACUGAUCUACAAGAAAACAUCAAGUCCCAACAAGCAGAAACCUCCAAAGCCAAAGAUGAGCUGACCAGUGCCUGAGCCGCUAUGGAAAAGAUGAAGGAGAGUUUCAACAAGGAGCGGGCGGAUUGGGAGAUAGAAAAAUCCGCAUUGCAAAAAAGAGCCGAGGACGCAGAAGCAGCUCUUAAACCGGUGGGAGACGAGCUGACUGGUGUAAAGCGGCAAAUACAUGCCAUGACUGCUGCUGCGUUUGGUAACUAUCCUGGCUUUAAGUUUUCAACAUAUCAUCCAUACAUCGCCGGUUUGCUGAUAGUUGUAAUGAUGCAGGAACUCGCAUUAGCCAUCUGGGCUCUGACGUACAGAAGAAGUUGAAGGCUGCCUAUACUCUUAUAGAGCAGUUAUGUACCGGCACGCAACCGAUUAUCUGCACUGCUUCUCACAAAAAGCCGCCCCCAACUUUAAUCAAAGAUACCUUAGAAAGGUUGUCAAUGCUGCCUGCCCGGGUAGAAGAGCUAAAGAGAUCUGCUGCAAGGGCUGGUGCUCUGACCGCCUUAACCCGGGCAAAAGCAUGGGUGCCUAAUCUUGAUCCAGAGGAUGUGGGUAAAGGCUAUCCGAGCUUAAAAGAAAACGGAUCAGAAUUUAGCAAUGAUGACCUCCGAGCCAUAAACCGGGAAGUACGUCCACUGUCUUGUCAAUUGGCUGAAGAAGCUGAUCUUUCAUAUUACGAGGCGAGUUAUGACGUCAACAACAAACGGGUCGCUGCACCAACUCCUGAGGCUCAAAAUCUUAUCCCGCCAUCUGUAAGCACACCUAUGCCCCUGACAUUGAACCGUCCACCCUUAUAAGCGAUUAAGCUGUAUUCCAAGCCCUAACUGGGAUCGACUGGGCAACCAUUGACUUCCAGCCACUGGAUAGAGAGGAGGAUGAUGAACCGGUGCAAGAUGAUCCACAGCCGUCAAGUCAACCUGGCGACGAAUCAUGAACCGGAGGCCGGUUUAGCCUUCCGCGUGCUACAAUAGUUUUCAAUAAACAAUUAUUCUUUUGGGCACUGAAACACCUUGUAAUAGGCUAGUUAAAACACUUGGUCUGCUAUGCCAUCGUGCAUAUUUAUUUGUGCCUGACACUUGUUAAUCUGCCAUGCUUAAGACAUAUGAUGUUCAUAAUCCAUAGCGAUUUAUUCAAACUAUCCCUGCAUACAAGAAGUUGAUAGUGUCCUGGAGGUUUACCGCCGGACGGGUCAUGAUGCACAGAUAUAUAGCCAGGGUUUAUAACCAAGGCUGUAAAAAGAUAAUCAAAUAUGAAAAUAAUUGAUACCUGUGACCUUGAGUCAUAAUGUUGGCUGACCAACUUUUGUAGUGAGGGUGAUAACCCUAAUCUUGAGUAACAAUAACUCCUGUCAUAUUGUGCCGGUUUAUGAUAAAACCGUUCCGGGUUGUGAUAAACACAGGUUUAUCCAUAUUCAAUUCUGGCAACUUAUAGUCGAAACCAGACCGGGUUAAUAAUCUCCGGAUUAUAACUGAUCAUGUACUGACAACUUCGUAGUUAAAAGCCGAACCGGGUUAAUGAUCGCCGGUUUAUCAAAAACAUCAUAAAUCUCAUCAAAGGAGAAAAAACUUAGCAAAUAAAAGCAUAUGAAAACUUGUAGUCAAGGCUUUUCACAGGCUGCUAGGCCCCAAAUUCGAGGCUUUUCAUGGGCUGCCACGCCACUGAGUUAAGCCAUUUUACAAAGCCUUUUAAGAUGGACCUCAAUCUUUAACCAAUCGUCGUUUUAACUUUGACAAGUUUAGGGUCUUAUGAGAUUGACUUUUCAAAAUUCGGCGGGUCAUACCAGGUUUACCUGGACAGAGUGACUUACUUAAAAAGGCAGGCUAACCCAGGGUUUUAGGUGUAUACACCAGGCUUCCAAGCCGUGGCUUGAUAGCCUAUUACAAGUGUAGAUUCUUUGUUCAUUGCGAUAGCAAAGAAUCCCCAAGCAAUAUUUUGAGCUGUGCUCAGUGGGUGCCUAUGUUUGAGUUGUGCUUUUGCAACACUCUUUUUGGCCCCUAAAUAAUUUGGCUUUGAACCGAUCAAGAGGUGUAACUAUGGUUCGAAUACGACCAAGCUCCCAAGUGAUUUUUCUGGUGGCCUUGUGCCGAUCAAGAGGUGUAGCUAUGGUUCAAGUACAACCAAGCCCCCAAGUGAUUUUUACAUAAAGCUUUUAUAAGCUGAAUCAAGGGGUAAACCGGACGCUGCUUUAUGAAAUAGAAGCCCCCAUGUAACCACACAUGAUAUAAGGAAAACAACAGAUACCCCGCUUUAGCUGAGGCUCCGGUUUAUUAUAUUGAUCAUAAUAUAUACAUUGUCAUAACUAUGUACGUAAGCAGAGCCUGUGGCUCAAGUAUAAUAAGGCCGAAGAUGAGCGAUAUUCCACGGCCGGUGGGUCUCCUCCUCUGAUUUACGUGAGUCUUUGUGCUCUUGAACAUCUAUAAGGUAGUAUGACCCGUUAUGCAGAUUCUUGCUGACCACAAAGGGUCCUUCCCAAGGCGGGGAUAACUUGUGCAUAUUAGUCUGAUCCUGAAUGAGUCGGAGCACCAGAUCGCCUUCUUGGAAAGUUCUGGUUCUAACCCGGCGGCUGUGAUAACGACGCAGAUCUUGUUGAUAAAUCGCCGAACGGGCUGCUGCAAUGUCACGCUCCUCAUCCAACAGGUCAAGUGCUUCCUGUCGUACCUUCUCAUUGUCAGCUUCAACAUACGCCGCCACACGAGGCGAGUCAUGACGGAUGUCACUAGGGAGAACCGCCUCCGCUCCAUAAACCAUCAAAAAUGGCGUGUAACCCGUGGAUCUGUUGGGCAUGGUAUUGAUACUCCACAAUACAGAAGGUAACCCUUCCACCCAACAACUCGGCGUACGCUGCAAAGGAACCAUAAGCCGGGGUUUGAUGCCUCUCAAGAUCUCUUGAUUGGCUCGCUCCGCUUGACCAUUAGACUGGGGGUGAGCCACUGAUGAUACGUCGAGCCGGAUGUGCUCACGUUGACAGAACUCCUUCAUAGCACCUUUGGACAGAUUGGUGCCAUUAUCAGUUAUAAUGCUGUGUGGAAAGCCAAACCGGAAAAUCACCUUUUUGAGGAAUUGAACCGCCGUGGCUGCAUCACACUUACUGACUGGCUCUGCCUCCACCCACUUAGUGAACUUAUCAACCGCCACCAAAAGGUGGGUCUUCUUGUCCUUGGAUCUCUUAAAGGGCCCAACCAUAUCCAGCCCCCAAGUUGCAAACGGCCAAGUGAUUGGAAUCAUCCUCAAUUCCUGGGCCGGAACAUGAGCUCGGCGUGAAAAUUUCUGACAGCCGUCGCACUUUUUCACCAAGUCUUCCGCAUCAGCAUGAGCCGUCAGCCAAUAGAAGCCAUGACGAAAAGCUUUAGCUACCAGUGACUUUGAACCGGCGUGAUGACCACAAUCCCCUUCGUGGAUCUCACGCAAAAUCUCACGGCCUUCUUCAGGAGAUACGUAACGCUGAAAUGCCCCUGUUACACUGCAAUGAUGUAACUCGCCACUGACAAUAGUCAUGGACUUUGAUCGCCGGAUUAUCUGCCUGGCCAAGGUUUCAUCCUCUGGUAACUCUCCCCGGUUCAUAUACGCCAAAUAUGGGAUCGUCCAAUCCGGAAUAACAUGAAGAGCCGCCACCAACUGAGCCUCCGGAUCAGGAACAGCCAAAUCCUCCUCUGUAGGGAGCUUGACUGACGGAUUAGGCAGUACAUCCAGGAAGACAUUGGGUGGAACCGGUUUACGUUGAGAACCCAAACGGCUUAAAGCGUCCGCUGCUUCAUUCUUCCGCCGUUCCACAUGAUCAACCUGAUAACCUUUGAAGUGACCUGCAACAAUGUCCACCUCUCGACGAUAUGCUGCCAUGAGUGGGUCCUUGGAAUCCCAAGUACCAGACACUUGUUGAGCCACCAGGUCCGAGUCACCGAAGCACUUAACCCGGCUUAAAUUCAUCUCCUUAGCCAUCCGAAGACCGUGGAGUAGAGCCUCAUAUUCAGCUGCAUUGUCAGUGCAAGGGAACAUUAAACGGAGAACAUAAAAAAAUUUAUCACCUCGUGGGGAAGUUAAUACGACUCCAGUCCCCGAGCCUUCCAAUUGCUUGGACCCAUCAAAAUGAAUAGUCCAAUAAGUAUGAUCCGGCUUCUCUUCUGGCGCCUGUAACUCUGUCAAGUCAUUGAUGAAGUCCACAAGUGCCUGAGAUUUGACCGCCGUCCGGGGCACAUAUUUUAACCCGUGAGGCCCAAGCUCAAUAGCCCACUUGGCAACCCGACCAGUUGCUUCCCUGUUCUGGAUUAUAUCUCCCAAAGGAGCAGAACUGACCACAGUGAUGGGAUGACCCUGGAAAUAUUGCUUAAGCUUCCGGCUCGCCAUAAAAACUCUAUACACCAGCUUCUGCCAAUGUGGGUACCUCUGCUUGGACUCAUUAAGUACUUCGCUAAUAUAAUAAACCGGCCGUUGAACCGGAUAAUCCUUUCCAGCCUCCUUGCGCUCCACCACAAUAGCCACGCUGACAGCCCGGGCAUUAGCAGCCACAUAUAACAACCAGGGCUCUUUAUCAACCGGAGCAGCAAGGAUAGGUGGCUCGGCUAGUUGCCGCUUUAAGUCCUCAAAUGCUUCAUUGGCGGCGUCACUCCAGACAAAGUUAUCUGUCUUUUUCAGCAUCUGAUACAAAGGGAUGGCCUUCUCCCCAAGGCGACUGAUAAACCGGCUCAAGGCUGCAAUCCGGCCUGCUAGGCGUUGAACAUCAUUGAUACACUUCGGUUUAGCCAAAGAAGUUAUAGCCCUGAUUUUCUCCGGAUUAGCUUCAAUGCCUCUGUUAGACACCCAAAAGCCCAAGAGCUUGCCUGCUGGUACACCAAAGACACAUUUGGCCGGAUUAAGCAUCAUUUUAUAAACCCGGAGGUUAUCAAAGGUCUCCUUCAAGUCAUCUAUCAAUGUAUCCUCCUUUCUAGAUUUCACCAUAAUAUCAUCCACAUAAGCAUGAACAUUGCGGCCGAUCUGAUUAUGAAGACAAUUCUGCACACAACGCUGGUAAGUCGCCUGGGCACUCUUGAGCCCAAAAGGUGUAGAUACAUAGCAGAAGGCUCCAAAAGGAGUUAUAAAAGAUGUCUUCUCCUGGUCCUUAACUGCCAUUUUGAUCUGAUGGUAACCAGAGUAUGCAUCCAAAAAGCUCAAACGCUCACAACCCGCCGUAGCAUCAAUGAUUUGAUCAAUACGAGGGAGAGCAAAAGGAUCCGCUGGACAAGCCUUGUUCAAAUCUGUGUAGUCCACACACAUACGCCAAGUGUCGUUCUUCUUAAGUACCAGCACCGGAUUAGCCAACCACUCAGGAUGAAAUACUUCAACGAUAAACCCAGCCGCCAAAAGCCUGGCUACCUCCUCACCAAUGGCCUUGCGUCUUUCCUCACUGAACCGACGGAGAAAUUGCUUAACCGGUUUAAACUUGGGAUCAAUAUUGAGAGUGUGCUCAGCGAGUUCCCUCGGUACACCUGGCAUGUCAGAAGGUUUCCAUGAAAAGAUGUCCCGGUUCUUACGGAUGAACUCGAUGAGCGCGCUUUCCUAUUUCGGAUGUAAGUUAGCGCUGAUGCUAAACUGCUGGGAUGAAUCGCCAGGAACAAAAUCUACCAGCUUAGUCUCAUCAGCCGAUUUAAACUUCAAGGCCGAAUCAGGCUCUGUAGUUGGCUUUUUCAAACAAGUCAUGUCCGCCGGAUCAACAUUGUCCUUGUUGAACUUCAACUCCUCUGCUGCACAAACCGACUCAGCAUAUGCUGCAUCACCUUCUUCACAUUCCAAGGCGAUCUUACGACUUCCAUGAACUGUGAUAGUCCCCUUAUGACCCAGCAUCUUGAGCUGUAGAUAGACAUAACAGGGCAUUGCCAUGAACUUAGCAUAAGCCGGCCGUCCAAACAAGGCAUGAUACAGGCUCUUGAUUUUCACCACCUCAAAGGUCAAUGUUUCUGAUCUUGAAUCAUGCUCAUCACCAAAAGCAACCUCCAGAGCUAUCUUACAAACUGGAUACGCCAAUUUACCAGGCACCACACCAUGGAAGACCGUGUUGGACGGUUUAAGAUUUUUAUCUGUUAACCCCAUGCGACGGAAGGUUUCAUAAUAAAGGAUAUUGAUACUACUCCCUCCAUCCAUGAGUACCUUGGUGAACUUAUAUCCUCCAACCUGAGGCGCCACCACCAAUGCCAGAUGACCUGGAUUAUCAACCCAGGGUGGAUGAUCCUCUCUACUCCACACGAUCGGCUGCUCAGACUAGCGUAAGUAACGGAGCACCGCCGGUUCAACGGAAAUCACUGCCCUUUUAUGAAGCUUCUGAUCGCACUUGCAUAGACUAGUGGUGAAGACAUGAUACUGCCCACUAUUCAACUGCUUCGGGUUGCUCUGGUAGCCCGACUGCUGCUGAUUGCCCUGGUGAUUAUAACCACCUUGGUUGCCCUGAUUGCCUUGAUUACCAUGUCCGCUCUGAUUACCGUGAAAACAUGAGCCAGAACUGCCUCCACCGUAACCCGGCCCAUGAGAUCCAGGGCCUGAACCACCGCCCGGUCCAUGAUCAUACCGAAAAAUCAGAAUUUUUGAACUCCUGCAUGAUAUAACAAUCCUUCCAGAGGUGCGUGGCCAGUUUGUCCCGCGACCCGUGCUUUGGGCAAGGCUGGUUUAACAGAUAAGACAGGCGCUCCGGAUUGGGACUUGGUCCUCCACCAUGUUGGGGCGGUUUACCCUACGCCGCUGGCCUUUGUCCUGUGCGUUGGUAUUAGCCACGAAAUCUAAACUGUUAUCCGCUUUACGCUUACCGCUAUUUCCAUGACUCGCCGGGUUAUGCUGCUGCCCUUUGGUGUUGCCACUCUUCUUUCCCUUCCCUUUCUUGUCGUCGUCAGACUCGGGAUCCUUGGUACUAUCAAAGUCAGCAUACUUCACCAGAGCUGCCAUAAGUGUUCCCAUGUCAUUGCAGUGACGUUUGAGCCGUCCCAACUUCAAUUUCAGAGGUGCAAACCGGCAAUUGCCUUCCAACGUUAAAACUACUGUAUCAGCGUUGAUGCGGUCUGAUGAAUGCAAAAUCUUCGAAACCCGGCGCACCCAAUGGGUUGUUGAUUCUCCUUCCUCCUGGACAUAGGCAGCUAAGUCCACAAUUGACAUGGGCUGCUUGCACGUAUCCUUGAGAUUCUAGAUAAAUCGGGCCCUUAACUCGGCCCAUGACCCAAUGGAGUUAGCCGGCAAGUUUUUCAACCAGGUGCGAGAUGUUCCUUCCAACAUCAUGGUAAAGUAUUUAGCACACGCCGCAUCGUCCACAUCCGACAUCUCCAUUGCCAUCUCAUAACUUUCAACCCAUGACUCGGGGGAUAAAUUGGCAGUGUAAUUCGGCACUUUACAUGGGCCCUUGAAAUCCUUGGGCAAGCGCACGUUGCGCAGUGUUGGGACGAGACACGACACCCCCAAAGAACUGGAGGUAACCCCUGGUGCCACCGAAGUUGUUGGACGAACUAGAGUAAGUUGGCGGGCUUCAUGCUGCGCUGCUAACUCGGCCUCUCGACGUUCCCUAGCACGAUCCACCACAUCCUGAGCAUCUCCACCGCCACCCGCCGGGUUAUGGCCACAGGGCGGAUUACGAUUUCGCGCACUGCUUGACACGGACGGUUCCCCCAUAUGCCUGCUGUAACUCCGGCUAGGGCGGGGAGUAGAAUGAAUCCUUUCGCGGCUGUAUGAAUAAGCCUGCUGCUGAGUCAAGGCUGUCUGAAGGAGCUCUCUAGCCCGUCGUGUCUCGACCGCUACUGGGGACUCGUCGUCGAUCGGGAGAGCUGCCAAUCGUGAAGCGGCAGCGACAAUGUUAUCCAUCGGGUUAGAGUAGUGACCCGGUGGUGUUGGGACGUGCUGUGAUGGAACGUUGUUCUGACAAGGCGGAUGUGUUGGACGUGGCUGAACCGGCGCCCCCGUUCCAGGUGCCUCCGCCCGGUUUAUCGCUGGCGCAUUACUGGUCCCUGCUCCUGGGGUAUUAAAGAGGUUCCUGGCCUCAUAAACCGGCGGCAGGUGAGACUGGUACCUUCUCCUCAUGACAUCGUUUGACGCGCUCUGAUCCAACAUAAGCCGGUAAGCCUGUGCAUCUAAUGCGGCCCGUUCCGCAGCCAUCCUGGUGUCCUCAGCUACCAGGUCGGCCUUGGCCUGAGUUAUCUGAUCUUUCACCUUUGCGAUUUCCGCAUUAUGCUCACCUUGAUUCGUCGGGUUAACUUCCGCCAACAGUGUUGCCAAAGCGUCAAAUAAAUCAGAUAAAACCUGAGCCGGCGGUCGCACGGGGCCUCCUGCCCCGGCCGCUGUCGCUGCUACUGAUCCGGAAACCAUCGCCGCUGCGGUCGAAGAGUGGAGCGCUGGCUGCGUACCGGCCAUGAAGAUCGCAGCCCGGCUUGGCGGAUCGAAGGGGUCCGAAAUACUGUCGCCAUCGGAACAGCCCCCAAUCCAGCCAUCUUGCAACUGGUACAAUGACUCGGUCUCUCCGGUCGAUGACUCAUCAUCAGAAUAAACGACGGUCUCCCCCCAGAUGCCGAUCUAUCCUCAGAUUCCGCUCCAUGGAUGACUCCCAUUAAGGCACGCUUCAUGGCAGGCUGAACCCGGGCAGGUCUCGCAUGCUGAGCCGUCUCGACGAUGUCGGUGCAGAUGUCUGGCUCAGGGCCCAGUUCGCGAUCUUGCCAAUGAAAACGUGGACGCCACCGAAGGGGACCCGGUACCCGUACUCGAUUGAGCCGGCCUCGGGGCCCCAACCCGCGUCGUCGAUAUAGAGCUUGCCGCGACGACUCUUGGUCAUCCGGCCCACAGCGUAUCCUUUGAGCCCUUCGAAGCUGCCCUCUAAGAACUCGAAACCAUCGUGCGAUAGCCCCACGGUGGGCGCCAACUGUCGUUGUUUUGUCACGGCAGAUGUCCUAGAGAAAGGACUUAGUCGUGGAGCCAUCAGGACUGGUUAGCUUAAAGGGGUUAAAGCGGACAAGGGACGCAGAGAGUUUAUACUGGUUCGGCCCCUUGCGGUGAAGGUAAAAGCCUACGAUCCAGUUGUUGUGGAAUUGCUAGGGUUUCGAUGACCAGGGAGCGAAUCCGCUAUGCCUGGUUCUCGAGUUGUUGUUUAUUGUCACCAAACCGCCGCCGGGUCGUCCCCUUAUAUACAUGGGUUGACGCCCGCCGGUUUACAGGAUUCCGAGGCCGGCUCAUAAACGUGUCCGGCCCGGUCUCUACUCUUUCUGCCUUACAACACAAGCUUGCAUAACAAUGUCGGUUUAUGACUACAGGCCUUAGUCCGCCUUUGGGCCCUGGGCCUUCAUAAAGCGCCAUCAUCUUUGUCUUCAUGGGCUUCAAAUAUAAUAACUCAUUAUGGGGAUAACCUGGCCUCUCCUGGCCGGUUUACGCCCAGUAGUAAUAUCCCCAACAAUUACCUUAUGUAUUGUGGUUCAGUGACCUAUACUUUUAGGGGCUUACGGGUCCAAAUGCGUUCUCUAGGGAGUGGCGUAAAGCAAGCGACACGGGUGAUCGUUCUGGAGCGGUGACACACAGUGGGGGUCUCGGAGUGGAGGUGCUGGCACGGGCCGGGGGGGUCUUCCUGGAAGCGCCGACGUGGGUGCUGGAGGUCGCAGCGCGACUGGGCCAUGGAGGACGCAGAGCUCGACUAGGAGGUGCUGCAGAAGUGGCGGCCAUGAGUUGAUGCGGUGGUGCCUUCAUGGAGGCGGCGAUGCGUUGCAGAUAUGGGCUCAGGGUCGUGGCCGCCGCUGUUGUUUUUUGAGAUGACUGGUGUUGGUCGAGACGCAGCUUGGAGUUCAUGUUUAGGGCAUGCCCCUUUUUGCGUCGUGUUUGUAAUGGUUUGUGGUGGCUAGUUUUUAGAUUAGCUUGGGUGUGGUGUUUAAACUACCAUUGUUGUUUGUGUCAAGAGGUAGUUUCUUGUAUUUAUCUUCUGCCUUUUGUAAAAUAUGAUGCGCCUAGGAUAUUCUGGAGAAAAAAUACGUUCAAUGCCCACGAUUUUCUCAGUUUUUGGAUGGGGGUUUUAAAGAAUUUCUGAACCAAUGAAGAUAGUCAAGUUCAUGCAGGCACGAGUGACGGCGUCUCUGCUCUGAUUAGAUUGUAGUCAUUUUAGGCUUGGCAGUAUUUGGCAUUGCAAAUAUUGUUACCAUGGAGAAGAUGAUUACGAGAAAUUUUCACUCUAAAAUUUUGUUAUAUGAGUUAGUUUGUAAUUUCUUACAUCCAUGAUGGCAAGUAUUGUAUUCGUAAUAUUGUCAUGUUCAAAUAAAAAUAUACGUCAUUCAAAAAAAAGAGUCAAACUGCCCGCAAGAAAAAAAAUGCAGCAGCAGCAACAACAACAACAACAACAACAAAGCCUUUAGUCCCAAACAAGUUGGGGUAGGCUAGAGAUGAAACCGAUAAGAUCUCGCAACCAACUCAUGGCUCUGGCACAUGGAUAGCAAGCUUCCACGCACCCCUGUCCACGCAUCGCAAGAAAAAAAAUGUAACUCUGAAAAAUGUUUAGAACUAUUUAUUACUUUUUUCGUCUCAUAAUGUAAGACAUUUUUGACACUAGAAGGGAGUGCUUUCCGGCAUCUACUUAAAAAAAGAACAGUUCAUACAAAAAAUACAGUUUCCAGCAAACUGAAAUCUGUACACAGAAAGAGGUAGUGGUAUUCCGAAAAUCCAUUUCUGCACCCGAGUUUAUCUGCACCCGCGCCGACGAAAAAAAUCAAAACCAAUAUUAAAAAAAUUCAAGAAGUUCCAAAUAAAAUUUGUGUGGUAGACAAUUUGAUACGCGAGGCCCGCUCCAAAUUUCAAGUCAUUUGGACAUAUGAGAAGCUCUCAGCAAAAAAACAAAUUAGGGGUCUGUAAAAAUGUUUACUGUUCAUGUACUGUUUUGGCUCGAUUUGUCUUUUUGCUGAGAGCUGAUCAUAUGUCCAAAUGACUUGAAAUUUGGAGCGGGCAUCACGCAUCAAAUUGUCUACCACACAAAUUUUAUUUAAAUUUUUUUAAUUUUGUUUUGAAUUUUUUAUGAAUUUUUUUCUAACCGGGUGCAGAUGAGCCUGGCACCAAAACGCCCCACUCGUGGUAUUCCUCCAUCCUCCGGAAAGGAAAACUAUUAUUAUUACCAAAAUAGAUAAGAUAAGGAUACCCUUGCCGCAACAAAUUACACCGCAGACGCGCAGAAAUCAAUUUGCGUCGGUGGCCUAAGCAGAAGCGUGUUCUGCAGAUUAUAUCUUCCCAAAAUGGGCUAAAGCAAAAGCAUUCUCGCUAUUGGAGUCCAGAAAUUCCCAGCUAGCUUACAGCUCAAGCGCGCAGACCAAAACAGGUCACAUGGCAUGGCAUCAGGACGCAAAGAAAAGAAGAGACGAUGGAGAUGAAAAACAAAAGCAAGCAGGCAACGGCGCAUGCGACCAUGUGACUUCGCCCGCGCCGAUCGAGAAGAAAACAGAGCUCUGCACAUGGCUUUGGUCCUGCCGACCCAAUCGAGAACGCAACGGGCAACGGCAACUCUCAUCGGUUUACCGUUGUCGUCCUAGCUUAGCUUUUUGAUCCCCGUAGCACGCCGCAGCACGAUUCACGUCACCGAGAGGUAGGCCCCUGAUCCGUAUGAUAGGUGAGACUUCGUCAAGUUCCACACGGCCGAGGAAACUGCUCGAACAGAGCACGUAGUCGAGUAACAAUGGACAUUAGGGUUUCUUGCCAAUUUUGUGGUUGUUGUUAAUCAGAACAAGUUAAUGGAGAACAGACGCAUACAUCGAGGAGCGGAGAUCAAUAAGGUAACAAAUGAAAGAAUUCUAUUAAUGACAAUAAUCUGGCGCAUGCGUGGCGCAACACGGCGGCGUUACAUAUAACUCACUCCCCAGCUCAACAAAGAGAACCGAAAAAGAAUCUCGUCGGAGUAUAAACAACGGUUGGACAGACUCAAAGAUCCACGGCGGCGGCACAUCGA
rnacentral:lncRNA from 1 species